AAAUAAAAAGUGUAUCUUAUACAAGUAGAUCAAUUAGCAGGGUAUGGGUAUCAGUCCCUUGAAAGCAAGCAUUAUUAGAGAAAUGAUGUGCUUCCGUUAAAAAUAGUUUCUCAGUGCCAAUACAAACACUUAGUAUUAGCACCAAACAUCAUCCUUCACGCCAAUUGCAGAAUAAAAAAAAAUUUGGUAACAAGACGGAGAAACAAUAUGAUUUUGUCAAGUACCAGCGCCAAUACAUAGUAGUUCGUUGACAAAUAUGUCGCAAGCUUCACACUCAGGUUCAUCAAAUGGGUCAAUAUUGUUCCUGCACAACAUUUAAACAUAUACAGAGAAGUUGGAUUUUGUUAAAACGUAGUUAAAUUUGUGCGUAAUUGUGGAAAUCAUUUUUUUUCUUACUAAUUUUUUUAUAAAAGGGGACAAAUGUAGAUGCAGCAUUUGGUUUGGACUUUGGACCAUGGAUCAAGAGAUAAGAUAAGCAUCUAAGUCCACAAAACACUACCAGGUUAUAUUGAAUGAGUUUACUGGUCAUAACAAGCAGAAUAGAUUUCUGGCACAUACAAGCAAAUGUGCAUAGCAUAAUACACAUGUUUUCUAUUGACCUCUAAUUCUAGGAAAUGUUAAUAAGCACAUGUCUACUACAAACAACUUACGUAAUCAGCCUUUCGUUAUGUACCAUUCGCGAAGUCCCUAAGAUCUAGAGGUGCCCCUUCCUGUUUCUCAUAAAUAUUCUCAGGCAACCCCAUUACACUGUAGCAUAUUAUACUAUUGUCCACUAUAAUUCAGAAUUCUACUAUAUAUGUAGUUCGCAAUUGUAAAUAUUCCCAGGAAUCAUCAGAGAUUCAGAGUUGUUUCAUUCACUGUGCUAAGAACAAAUUUUCAUGAAGUUUGAAUGAUGUAAAUCUUUCCAACCAAUUUGUCAAACUCUAAUCAAUUAAAUAGCAGAACCGAGAGCUAUUAAGUUGAGGGACUUCACUCGGUUAAAAUCUAUUGAAAAUAUCUUCCAAUAAUUUAUUUUUGAGAAAAUGCAAAAGCUUUCAUGAAGUUUCUAUCGAAAAAUUUCAGGCAGUUUUCAACUAGUAGAAUAUUUCAGGCUUUGGUAGGUCUUACAGUACUUCAUGUGAGGUUGCAUCACUAUCUCAGACGUUUCUAAUGCUUUACAUUUCUCUUCUUUUCCAGAUGCCUAGCCAGGUCAUGCGACUUAUGUGGUGCAUUGAUGUAUUGGGGUUUCCCAAUCUUCUUGUUCACGCCUGUGCCGGUAACUGGUAGCAUUGGUACCCGGAAUAUACCAGGUACAAGGAAUACCGUGACUUUCAGCAGAAACAGUACAGGUGCAAGGUCAGUAUCUGCCCCUUUCUGCGGCCAAAUGAUCAGUGGAUUAACAUCUUUUGGGGGUUGGUGUCACCAUAGACUUGUUGAUUUAGGAGCGUAGCAUUGAUGCAUAUGCUUAAUGUCACCCAAAAAAAUGCAAACCCCAUUUUAUUAAAUUUUGAGUUGAACUACAAGUAUGUGAUUUAUAAAAUUAUGAGAAUUUUCGGUAGCUUCCUACUAUUAUUGGAAGACUAGCAAACCAUUUUCAGUAGAUUUCAACAGAGUGAAGUAAGGCAAUUUUUAUAGAUCUCAGAUCUGCCGAUUAAUUUAAUUGGCAAAAUCCAUACAAAUCCAAGUUACUUAUUUUGGGACGGAGGGAGUAUUACAGUUACAAAUUGGGCAAGAUUUAAAUCAUUCAAACUUCAUGAAAAUUUAGGGAGAGUCUCCUGUAACAUUAGUGAAGCUUCCAUAAAUAUUUCAUGAUUAUUGAAGGAUAUUUAUCUUUUCUUUGCAAUUUAAGUGUGUUUUGCAAGUUAAAGAUGAGUUUUUAAUUCCCGCCAAUUUGUUUUCCUCGGAAUCAAACAUGAUUCUUAUGGAAUGCCAAUGAUUUGCAACAAGGUUCCUUUAUUUCAAGUUACAAAGCUAGAGAUGCUAAAACCAGCAUUGCAUCAUUUGUUAAAAAUACAAGCUGAUGGAAGUAUGAAGUACUCCGUCCUUCCCAUUUUAUAAGUCGUAUUAGAGUUAACAUAGAUACCAAGUGUCGGAGCACGGUCUCCGGCACCGGGGAUGCCGAGCACCCCCUUUUUGGUUCGGCGGAGGGCGAGGUGAUCGCUCCGGCGAUCACCGGCGUGGCGAUAGACACGAGGUGUAGACACACGAGUUUUACCCAGGUUCGGGCCACCCGGAGGUGUAAUAACCUACGUCCUGCUUUUAGCUGUAUUCACAAGUUUGAGUGCGUACAAGUCACCCGGGGAGUUCCCGGGCUGGCUACUUAGGUGAACGUUGUGCUAUGUUUUAAGCACUUGGGUUGGAUCUGAGCUGUACCCUUUGACCGGUGGCAUUGGUCCUCCUUUUAUAGACAAGGGGAUACCACAUGUGCAUAUGCAUGCAGGGUGACACGUUUCCUAGACGCGUGUCACGGACACAUGGAAUACAUUUUUACUCAUCCAUGCUGGACGCCAUGCAGCGCCCAGUCCACUGUACACGGUAGAAAAGAAAUGGUUCGUAGGAUAGUCGCCCUAGCCUUGCUCAGCAAGACUAGGCCUGCCGAUAAGACUCCUGUCGGUGCAUUAAAUGCACUGCGCCCGCCGUCUUGUCCCGUCUUCACUGUUCCGCGGGUCCCGCCUGCAUGCCCGAGCGCGGGUUGCUGGGGUGCACCCUCCCGGCUAGCGCACCUGCUAGUUGCUGGGAGGCGUUCCUUCGGCCUCCCGGGACCGGGGUUCCCGGGAGCACCUUGUACUCGGCCCUCGGUUUUAACUUUGCCAAAGGCCGUCUCCUCGAGGCAGGCUUCCCGGAUUCACCGCUACCCGGGUAGCCUUCCUAAUGGGGCAUCGUCACUGGCGACACACGCGUCCCGUAUCAGUGGGACCCCGCGGGCCACUGGUACGACAGUAGCCCCCGGGCGUGUGCCGGCAGCCUUGAAGCUCCCUGCAAGUGCUAUCCUCGGUCGGUUGCCGGGCUACGCCCUAUCCGACGCGUGGGUCCCAAAGGGAAAACUCCCUGGCACCCGGCCUCGCGGGCCGCAUUUAUAGUUCCACUUCUGCAAACGAAACGGUCGGGCGCACGAUUUCAUGCCUUAUCUCCCUUAAUCACCAGAGAGUUAAGGCCACGUCGCACACCCCCCUCUUAAUCUCUGAUUCUUUAGGGCUCUUUACUGUCGAUCGUGGGGGUGUCCGUUGCAGUCUGCCAGCCCCGACAAAUCCAAGGCCGGCGGCGGGCACUCCCCAUUGUCUCUCGCUCCUGCCAUUGCCUCCUCCCAAGCUCCCCGCGCCCCAACUCCGACCAAAUCACCUCUCCACCUCCGCCGAUGUCUUCCAAGGGCCAAAACCGUCCCAAGGGGAGCACCAGCAAAGGGGAAUAGCGCAAAAGGCCGGCAAGAAGGAGCUGUCGGACAGAGCCCGGAAGGAUGACGAAAUGCGGGCUAAAUUCGCUUUCUUCUCCCCCGGGUACAACAGCGAGGGAGUCGACAAGCUAGUCUUGGCGCUCGCCACCAAGCACAACGAGCACGGGCCGACGCGGGUCCUCCCUGUCGGUGCGAAGCACGACGGGCACUACUUCCGGAUCUUCGGGAGGUUCAUCCUUGCCGGGUUCGUGCCGCCGCACUCCUACUUCCUUUCAGCCAUCAUGGAGACCUACGGGCUCAUCAUGGCGCAGCUUCACCCCACGUCGUUCUUCACAUUGGUUGUUUUCCAACACCUCUGUAUCGCGUUCGUGGGGGUGAUGGCGUCGGUGGCGCUAUUCCGCCACUACUACUACCCGAGGGGGGAGAAGAAGGCUCCCCUGUCCUCGGGGGUAGUGUUCCGAUUCCGUGACAGGAUCAAGUCGGAGUUCAUCGAGCUGGGGAAGAAAAAAAUCGAGCAUGAAUGGCGCUGCGACUGGUGCUGGGUGCGCACUGAUGAGCUCCAGGAGUUCCACGAGGAGCCCCUCGAGCCUUCAAAGGGCUCUGAGGACUGGACGCUUCGCGACCAGAAAGACGAGGAGCUGGCCCCAAUCUAUGCGAAGAUCAAGGUGCUCCGCGAGGCUGGGCUCACGGACACGGAUGUGGCGCGCCCCUUCAUCGGGAGGCGCAUGGCCCCCCUGCAGCGGCGCUCGCAUCCGGCGUGGAUGUACACCGGGGCCGGCGACCGGACCUGGCUGCAACGCACGGACCUCCUCUCGGAGGAAGUGCAGUUCUGGGUGAAGGGUAUCACCGGCGAGGACGAACGUUACCGGCUGCCCCCGCUUGGAGCGCCCCUGCUCCACGCCGGGAUCCUGAACCCGGGAGCCCGGGAUCUCCCACUCUGCGACGAGUGGGGGAUCGUGGAGGACCCCUCGGCGCAACCCUCCCCCCCGCAGCCCAAGCCCUAGAGGGGCAAGGAGCCGGCUGCCGGCUUGGGGAAAGGGGGCCAAGGCCAGACCUCCGCCAGGGCAGAGGGCUUGGACUCCGACGACUCCUCGUUGGGCGUCGGAGGAGACCUCAGCGACGACGAUGCUCCCCCGGCAGCCAGCGGGGUCGCGUCAAAGGAGGACGACGAGGAAGACGACGUCCCCCUGGUGAGGCGGUCCGCGGCAGAGCGGGCGAGCAGGCAGGAGGCCAGCCCGUAGCCUCAGGAGCCUCACGGCGACGCGGCUGGAGCAGCCGCCCCGACCACCCCGGUGACUCCAACAGCUCCCCCCGUGCGAAGCGGCCCUCCGGCGAGGAACAUCCUGGCGGACAGGGUGCUCAAGCUCAAGCCUGCGGGGUAAGUCCAAGGUUGUUCAGAACGGCUUUGACUUCGCGAGAUUAUUUUGUGCCUGACAAACCUAUUUUUUUUGCGUUUUCCAGUUCGUCGAGGAAGAGGGGGCAGACCAGUGCGUCGCCGGUAGCCCCAACCAAGAAGCCUCGCCCGGCAUCGGGCGGCGGCGACCAAGCGUUGCUGACGCAGCGGCUAUGACGGCGGCAGCGGCCGCUGGGGACCCAAGGAUCCCUGAUUCGAGCUCGCAGGGCACCGGCCCGGCGGCAAGUACGUGCAAGUUCGAACACUUCCUUUACCUAUUCGCGCGCGCCUGACGCAGGUGCCGUUCGUGCGGCCGCCGGAGGGGUUCCGGCUGCGCCCGCGCCUACAGAGGUGCGGGUGAUCGACCUCACUGGCGAGGACGACGACAAAGGUCCGGCGGAGGUUGCCUCCGUCGGAGCUCUUCAGCAAUCAGUCACGGCGCCUGCCAGGGCCGUGAUUGCUACCAUAGGCAACGCCACGCAGGGGGCGCUGUCUGAGGCGGGCGACACAAAGCAGCCUCCACCAGCUGGGGCGGGUGGUGGUGAUCUGGAGAAGCCCCCGAGCCCCCAACUUGCCCCUUCGGACGAGCAAGGAGCAGCGGGGCCUGGCCAGGCCGGGGGCGCGCCAUCAAAUCCCGACGCGCCCUCGGGGUCGCAGACGGUCGCGGCAAGGUCCUCCUCCUCCGCCGGAGCCGCCUUCAGCCCGGGAGCAGGGGAGCUCGCCAGGCGGACUUGGGGUCGGAUCACCUUCGACCCCAGCGUGUUCCAGCAGGGACACCAAGUGAUUGACAACAUCCAGCAGCAGCAGGGGAUGUUCGUCGAUUUCUUCAACGACGCGCAGCAGCACCAUGCCCGCGUAGUGGCGGAACUGGGCGCAGCGCGACGCGAGGCGGAGGAGCAGCGCACCGAGCUGCAGCGGCUCCGGGAGGAGCUCCAGCAAGCGCGGCAAGCCGGAGCAGCGCCUAUCGUGCCAGGGGUGCCAGAGGCGCAGGUCCUCCAGCAGCUGUGCGAUUUCCAGCAAGAGCACCAGCGGGAGCUCGAGCUGGAAAAGCCCACACACACCAAGAGCGAGGAGGAGCACCAGGCGGCCCUGGACUCGUUCCAAGGGCGUCUCCGAGAGAAGACGGACUUACUGUCCGGCUACAUCCUAGAGAUCCAACGUCUCCGCCGCGAGGUCGGAGAGCUGGAGACGGCGGCUGCAACAGCAGCCAAAGCCUCCGCGUGUCGGGAGAAGGAGCUGCAUGACCAGGCCCGCUCCCGGGAGCGCGAGCUUGCGGGGCCGCUUAAGGCCGCCCAAGAUGCCAGCUCGUCCCUUCAAGGCGAGCUAGACACGGUGCGGCAGGAACUCCGGCUGGUCGAUGACGACAACACCAGGAAGGCGUCGGAGAUCGGUAGGCUGAACUCCGAGUGCCGCGAGCACAAGCUACAGGCCCAGGAAGCUUGCGGUGCGUGCACCGAGCUGCGGGCCCGCAGGACAGGGGAGGUGGCCAGGCUGAAGAAGCUGGCCGACUUGGCGGUGGAGGCGCUGCAGGGGUUCGACAUCCCUGUGGCUUCCUUCGACGGGACAGACAUCGCGAGCUUCACUUCGUUCUUCGCGGAUUUCGUCGGCCGGCUGAGCGGCCUGCAGAGCUGUGUCACGGCCUUCGGGGACCGGCAAGUCGGCCUUGCGGCCGAGCAGGUCGCCGGGCACCCUGACUUCCCGUUCGAGUUGGUCUUCGACGCCUGGUCUGACGAGGAAGAGGUCAAGACCCACCGGGAGGCGGUGCAGGGUGUCGUGGAUGAGAUGGUGGCGCAGAUGCAGGGCAAAGGUCGACGAAGAGGAAGCCGCCGAUGCCGAGGAUGCCCCUGACACCGACGUAGCUGCCCCGGGAGCACCUCCCACAUAGUUUGUUUCCUUCCUUUUUAUUUUCCUGCAAGCGGCGCAUGGCGCCUUAGAGCUUUUUUAUGUUAUCUUUCCCUUGUCAUUAUCAGUGUUACUCGUUAACUCGUUUUGCUCAAGCUUCAAUAUAUAUCCAAUGCUACUUUCUCUUGCUUCUUUGCCUAAGACUAGCUUGCCGGGGAGGGGCUUUGUCCUUCUCGUGCUUUAGCCUUGCGUAUUCGGGGACUCGCCAACUACAUGCGUAGCCAGACUAGGGACCCGGGACGGACCCGUGAUGCCGACCUAGGACCAAACAUCAGCGGCUGGUCACUCCAUCUGCGGGUUAACUACCCCAGCGCGCACGCCUCCGGGACGGACCCGCGAGCCACGUGUGGGGGGCGUCCUCACCCCGCAAGCGUCCUUCCCACGCUCCAGCAACACGGGGACCGACCUUACCUCAGCAAGCCGCGUUACUAAAGGAAAAACCAAGGACCCAAAUGAGAUACUUAGCUUCCCAUUCUUUUUGGACUCGCUGCACCUUGUUGAGAGCCAUGGCAAGGACGCGGUGGCCGUGCACCCUCCGGCAGCACCCUUGGGGCCGCGGAGGCAUGCACCACCACCGCGUCUUUACGACGCCUCUCGCUUGUCUCAUCACCAUUUCUGGUGUCGUUUCGUAAAAGAUGUGGCAGGGCCGCGAUGGUGAGAACACCCUCAGCGACAAGCGCAGAGGGAUGGACCACCAUCGCCUCUCUGCGACAUCCCUUGCCUUCUUGCCCGUUGCUCGUGUUGCACUUGCUCUGGUUUCCUUAAAUAGCCAUAGCGCUGCUCUUGUCUCCACACGCCCGGGACCACCCGUCGCCACGUGGAGGCCCUGGCCUUGUCUCAGUUUCCUGCACCAAGCCUCGAAGUAAUUGCUAUAUAUGUACAACUUACUCGCAAGACGACGACACCCGUGACCACCCCACGAGCAUCACAGUGUGCCUUUGCCUUAUCUCUAUCCUGCAUGUCAGAUUCUUGCAGUGCCCAAGGUACAUAGCAAAAGAAAAUUUUGAAAUGUACGAAAAACAGUAUAAACUGGAUAACCUCCAGCUUCCCAGGCCCCGGGCACAGAAGAGUCGACCUCAAACCUGGUUGUGAGCAUCUUUACAUUUCCACUGUGCCUCGCUUGCACGUAGCACGUUGCGUACGGGUCCGGCAACUGCUAGACCUCGUUCCGGGGCGUCCCGGCAACGAGCUUGGUUUUCAGGGUUCCGGCAGCCCCCUGCUCACAGCCAAGGAUGAGGAGACAAUUCUGUGCACCCAGAGCAGGAGACAGAAGCAUUCACAAUCAACAAAGCACAAUAUUUACCAAUGCAACACUUAUCUUUAUUCAACUUUGUGCUAGCGGAUUAUAAUCAGGCCUUGCCCAGCUUCACUAGCUUAAAGAGGCAUGCUGCCGCAAUGUCACCCGUGGGUAAGGCGCCACCGUUUCACGGGUAGAACUUGCGUAGGUGCUCAAUGUUCCAACAAUUGGGCACCGGCAAGCCUUCUUCGGUUUCCAGCCGGACAGCCCCCGGUCUGGUCACCUGGACUACCCGGAAAGGGCCUUCCCAGAUUGGAGUCAACUUGUUCUCGGCCUUUGUUCCUUGUAUCCGGCGCAGGACGAGGUCUCCAACCUUGAGCCCCCGGGGACGGACUCUCCUGCCGUGAUAACGACGGAGUCCCUGCUGGUAGCUUGCAGCUCGUACAGUAGCCCGGCAUCGAAUCUCCUUGAUGAAGGUAAGGUCAUCAAUCCUCUGCGUGUGUUGGCUCUUGUCGCCGUACGCAAGGUGACCCAUACUUGAGCUCGAGGGGCAGAACACCUUCUGCCCCGUAGACGAGGGUAAACGGAGUUUGACCCGUCGCCCGACUCGGUGUGGUCCGUAGUGACCACAGCACGGGUUGGAGUUCUUCAACCCAAUGUUUCCCGUGGCCCUUGAGCUUGUCAAAGGUUCUCUUCUUGAGCCCCCGCAGCACUUCUGCGUUGGCUCGCUCAACUUGCCCAUUGCUCCUCGGAUGAGCAACAGAGGCAAAGUGAAUCUUAGUGCCCAUGUCCUCGCAGUAAGCUUGGAACACCGCACUAGUGAAUUGCGUGACGUUGUCGGUGAUGAUGCCGUUAGGCACACCAAACCGGCACACAAUGCCUUUGAAGAACUUGACGGCUGCCUGUGCCGUGACGGCUCGGACAGGCUCCACCUCGACCCACUUCGAGAACUUGUCGAUGGCCACAAGCAGGUACUCGUAGCCACCAACUGCUCUCGGUAGCUUGCCGACGAUGUCCAGCCCCCAGACCGCGAACGGCCACGAGGAUGGGAUGACUUGCAGGGCUUGCGCUAUUGGUUGCUCUUCUUGGCGUGAAACUGGCAUGCUUCACAUGUCUUGACUAAUUGUUCGGCAUCGGCUAGUGUUGUCAGCCAAUAGAAGCCGUGCCGGAAUGCUUUCCCAUCUAGUGCCCUGGAGGCCACAUGGUGUGAGCAUGUGCCUCGAUGUAUAUCUUCCAGCAACGCGCGCCCUUCCUCCUGGGGCAUGUAGAGGAGCAUGACUCCGUUAGGACGCCUCCGGUAGAGUUCUCCGUCCACCAGGACGUACAUCUUAGCUUGUCAGGCUACUCGCUCCGCGGCAAUGUCUUCUUCUGGGAGGGUCCCGUCCCUGAGGUAGCGAAUAAUAUUCGUCCCCCAGGGUGGUGACUCCCGGCUAGUAUAUGCCACCAACUUGGCGGCACAGUCCCCUGCAGCUGCAGGGUCACCCUGUGUUGCCGGAGGGGCUUCCCCGGCAACCGUCUUGGGGUCGACAGAGGGCUUCGACUGCCUCUGCACGAACACCACAGGAGGCACCUUGCUGCGACAGUUCAUCCGCAACAGAGUUGUCCUUGUGCUUUAUGUGCUCAAAUCGAAGUGCUUUGAACUUGGACUCCAAUUUUCGCACUUCCUCCACGUACGCUGCCAUCUGACGGCAGUCAUAGUCCUUGUUUACCUGGUUGAUCACGCGUUGGGAGUCUCCGCGAACAACCAAGCGCUUGAUGUCUAGGGCGAUUGCCACGCGUAGCCCGGCAAGCAGUCCCGCGUACUCUGCCGUGGAGUUGGUGAAGUCGAGCUGUAUCACGAACUUGAGCUGGUCUCCAGUGGGCGACUCGAUCACCACUCCGGCACCGGCGCCCUGCAAGCAGAAGGCGCCGUUGAAGUACAUGACCCGGUACCCUUCGUCCAAUCUGCCGGGAAGGCUCGCCUCCGGCUCUUCUCCCUCUAUGCCUGUUGACGUCCACUCUGCGACAAAAUCAGCGAGAGCGGUGCUCUGGAUGCUCUUGGUGUUGGCGAAACGCAGCCCGAACUCUGCCAGCUCCAUCCUCCACUCGGCCACUCUCCCGAUGGCUUCACGGUUGGUGAGGGCCCUCUCUAAGCAGAACCCCGACACCACCGUGAUGAUGUGCGCCUAAAAGUAAUGGCGCAACUUCCUUGAAGCGAGCAGGAUCCCAAGCAGAAACUUCUGGACCUGCGGGUACCGCACCCGGGCAUCGCGCAGCACCGUGCUAAUGAAGUACACGGGAUGCUGCACUAGCCGCUUGCGGGGGGCAGCCUGCGUGGGCUGUCCCUCAGAUCCAGGGGCAGAGGAGGUAGCCGGGGGUUCCUUAGGCUCACCUGGGGCUCCCCGGCCCUUCCGCCUCAGCCCCCGGGACUUGCUCUUCCCUCUCGGCAACGAGCACGGAGCUACCUACCUGGUCUGUCGCUGCUAGGUACAGCAGCAAUGGCUCGCCCGGCUUGGGGGCGACGAGAACCGGCGGCGACUUCAGGUACCUCUUCAAGUCCUGGAACGCCGCUUCCGCCUCGGGGGUCCAACUGAUUGGACCCUUCUUCUUCAUCACCUUGAAGAAAGGUAGGGCUCGCUCGCCCAGCCUUGAGAUGAAACGCCCAAGCGCCGCAAUGCACCUGUUGAGGCGCUGGACAUCUCUAACCUUGCGAGGUGCCUCCAUCUUCUCGAUCGCCUCGAUCUUCUGUGGGUUGGCUUCGAUUCCCCUGUGAGAGACCAAAAAGCCCAGCAAGUGUCCCGAGUCCACACCGAACGUGCACUUCUCAAGGUUAAGCUUGAGCUUGAUCCUGUGGAGGUUGUUGAACGUCUCCUGCAGGUCGUCGACGAGCGAGUCCCUACGCCGCGACUUGACGACGAUAUCGUCCAUGUAGACCUCGAUGUUCCGGCCUAGCUGGGGUCCCAGACACUCGUGCAAUGCGCGCUGAAAUGUCGAGCCCGCGUUCUUCAACCCGAAAGGCAUCCAUGUGUAACAGUAGCAGCCAACCGGGGUGAUGAACGUUGUUUUCUCCUCAUCUUCGACUGCCAUCUUAAUCUGAUGGUAGCCGGAGAAGGCGUCUAGAAAGCACAAAGACUCACAACAUGCCGUAGAAUCUACUAUUUGAUCGAUACGGGGUACUGGGAAGGGGUCCUUUGGACAUGCACGGUUAAGAUCAGUAAAAUCUACACACAUGCGCAAUUUAUUUCCAGCUUUAGGGACUACAACAGGGUUUGCUAACCAAGUGGGGUACAACACUUCCCUGAUUGCCCCGGCGUUCUUGAGCUUCUCCACUUCCUGCUGGAUGAAGUCCUUGCGUUCAUGUGCUUGCCAGCGAACCUUCUGCUUGACGGGCCGCGCGCCCGGCCGCACCGCCAGCCGAUGCUCGAUCACCUCCCUAGGGACUCCGGGAAGAUCUGACGGCUCCCAAGCGAACACGUCAGCGUUCUCCCGGAGGAAGGCGACGAGGGCGCUUUCCUAUUUGUCGUCGAGGCUCGCACCGAUGGAGACGGUGCGUGCCUCGUUGCCAUCAUGCAGGGGUACCUUCUUGACCUUGGUGCCCUCCUCCUUCAGCUUCGUGCCCUUGCUUACGCGCGGGCUGGAGCUGGAGCUGCCCCCGGCAUCCUGCCCGGGAGCGGCUCGCGCCUUCUUUUGUGCGGGUUGUUCACCCGCAAGUGGAUCCUCUCUCCCGGCAACGUCGUAAUCGCCAGGAUCCGCCACUGCGGAGGGCUUCAUGACCUCGCCCACGCACCAAGCAGCGUCCUUCAGGUCGCACUUGAUGGAGAGAACGCCGUGUGUUGACGACAUCUUCAUCACGUCGUAGGCGCCAUGCGUUGCCGCCAUGAACUUGAUCAGCGCUGGCCGAUCAAUGAUCCCGUUGUACGGCAACGGGGUGUGAGCCACAUCGAAAAUGAUGUGCUCAGUCCGGAACGCUUCCCGAGAACCAAAGGUCAUCGGGAGCAUGAUUCGCCCCAUGGGCUGCACCACUCCGGGGUUGAUCCCCCGGAACGGGUCGGUGGGCUUCAUCUGCUCCAGGGGCAGCUGAAGCUUUUCCACCAGCUUGGCGGACAGCAGGUUGAGGCUUGCCCCGCUGUCCACCAGAACCUUGGUCACCGUCACAUUGUUUAUGAUCGGUGACACCAAGAGGGGUAGCACCCCUGAACCCAAGGGACGGAUCAGGUGAUCGUCCGAGUUGAAUGUGAUCGGCACAUGCGACCACCUCAACGGCUGCUGCGCCACCACGCUGGGGAGGAGGGCGCAGACCUCACGCGUGAGCCGCUUCACGGUAGCGUGAGACGUGAGAGCAUAUGCUCACCCGUGGAUGCAGGCGACGUCGCGAGGCUCCUGGAAUCCGGGCUCGUCGGCGUCGACGUCACUGUAGACAUCCUCGCGCUGCUUAGCGCGAGGCUUGUCACGUCCCCGGGGAGGCCGGUCCUUGCUGCCGCGGGCUUGACCGCGACCCCCCGCGGGCUCUCCUUUGUCGCCGCCGGCUGCGCCCCGGCCUGCUCCGCCGCGAGGGUUGUUCGGGCAGUCCCGAGAGAGGUGCCCGAUGUCCCCGCAGUUGAAGCAAGCCCCGACAGCACGGCGCUCCUCGUGGCGCUACUCGCGCUUCUCCUUGAUGGUCUGGAGAGUGCGGCAGUCCUGCGCGUCAUGGGUGGCGUAUGUGUGGAUGGGGCAGCGCGCGGCCGUUGGCGGCUUGCUGCCCGAUGCUCUCGCCGACGCCGCCUUCUUGGCGGGCCUCUGGGGAGCCCCUGGCUCCGCGGCAAGCACUUGCUUCCCGCCGCAUUUCUGGGAGCUCUUCUUCCCGGAGCCCUCCGGUAGGUUUUCCGCUGCUUUGGCGGCAAGUUCGGGCGCCAAGCGUCCUUCCUCGGCCAUCGCGCACUUGUGCGCGAGAGCGUAGAGAUCUCUUGUGGUCCGGAUCCGGUGCGUGUUGAGCUUCUCACGCAUCUUCGGGUCUCGGACGUUGAUAGCGUAUGUGUUGAUGAUGGCGGCCGCUUCCACCUUAGGGAUGGAGUAGGAGAGGUUGGAGAACCUAUUGGUGAAGUCCAGCAACAUCUCCCCCGGUUUCUGCACGACCGUGUGCAGUUUCGCCAUGGUUCCCGGGCACUUGCAGCUACCCUGGAAUACGUUCACGAACUGCUCGUGCAGGUCAGCCCAAGAGGCUAUGGACCCGGCGGGCAGGUUGAGCAACCAAGUCCUCGCUGAUCCUUUGAGGACCAUCGGGAACCAGUUGGCCCUAACCUUAGCGUCGGCGCCAAUGACGUGCAUGCCCAACGUGUAGGUCAGGAGGAAAUCCUUGGGAUUCACGGUCCCGUCGUACGUCCCGAGCGUCGGCGCUCGGAACUUGCGGGGCCACAUCACCCGGCGCAGCUCGCGAGUGAACGCGGGGUAGCCGUCCUCGGCGCCCAUGGGAGCAUCUUCCAGCUCCUUUGGGCGCUGGCGUUCUGCUUCACGCCGACGCCUGCGCUCCAAGCGCUGGCGGAGGUCUUCCUGCUGGACGGCGUUCAGGACGCCUCGCGCGUCACCCCGUGUAAUGGUCGGUGAUGAAUCCGAGCCCCCCAUGGGAUCCUCACCUCCUUGCCCUCCCACCGGGGGAGGGUGUUCUCCGUGUCUUGAGAUGCGGGGCGUGUCUCCGCGUCCCGGGUUCUGCCCCCGGCCUGAAGCAGCCGGGGCGCCCUCGCCUUGCGGCUGCUAGGCGGCGAGUGCAAGGAGCGUGUCUAGUUCCGCGUUCCAUGCUUCGUACGCUGGCGUGCCUUGCGGUGGCUCGUAGCGUACCAUGACACGCGCAGCUAUGAUGGCUUCCGCCGGGGUUUGGGCGGGAGGCUGCCGAUUCUCUAACCGGCUGCCCUCCGCCCUGUUACCCGGUUCCCUCGAGUGAGUGGGGCGGGACUCCGUCGGUGUCGCACGCGACGCGCUGUGCUCAUGGCGCAGUUGCCGCUGCGCAUCGCGGGCCGGCGCUGGGAACCGCAGGCCCCCUCAGCCGGUUGUCCGCCGACGGCCGAGGGGGUGGUGGCGGCAUCUGCGACUGCUUCUGCGCCAGGUAGGGUGCUUGUGACGCGCGCGCAGCGUCAUGGGACUGAGUGCGCAUGGCGAGAGUGUCGUGCAAGUCGACCCGGGGCUCGUCUGCCUUCUUGGGCGGCAUGGCGAGCUAGUCGUUGAAGAUGUCGUAGGCGAAGAAGCCGGUGUUGACGACGAUGACGCCGGCGUUCAACUGAAGCUUUCCGCACGCCCCCUACCUGGCGCGCUAGAUGUCGGAGCAUGGUCUCCGGCACCGGGGAUGCCGAGCACCCCCUUUUCGGUUUGGCGGAGGGCGAGGUGAUCGCUCCGGCGAUCGCUGGUGUGGCGAUAGACACGAGGUGUAGACACACGAGUUUUACCCAAGUUCGGACCACCCGGAGGUAUAAUACCCUACGUCCUGCUUUUAGCUGUAUUCACAAGUUUGAGUGCGUACAAGUCACCCGGGGAGUUCCCAGGCUGGCUACUUAGGUGAACGCUGUGCUAUGUUCUAAGCACUUGGGUUGGAACCGAGCUGAACCCUUUGACCGGUGGCAUUGGUACUCCUUUUAUAUACAAGAGGAUACCAAAUGUGCCUAUGCAUGCAGGGUGACACGUUUCCUAGAUGCGUGUCACGACCGCAUGGAAUACAGUUUUACUCAUCCAUGCUGGACGCCAUGCAGCGCCCAGUCCACUGUACACGGUAGAAAAGAAAUGGUUCGUAGAGUAGUCGCCCUAGCUUUGCUCAGCAAGACUAGCCUGCCGAUAAGACUCAUGUUGGUGCAUUAAAUGCACUGCGCCCGCCGUCUUGUCCUGUCUACACUGUUCUGCGGGUCCCGCCUGCAUGUCCGAGCGCGGGUUGCUAGGGUGCACCCUCCAGGCUAGCGCACCUGCUAGUUGCCGGGAGGCGUUCCUUCAGCCUCCCGGGAACCCCGGUCCCAGGAGCACCUUGUACUCGGCCCUCGGCUUUAACUUCGCCAAAGGCCGUCUCCUCGAGGCAGACUUCCCGGAUUCACCGGUUCCUGGGUGGCCUUCCUAACAGGGCUUCGUCACUGACAAUCCACGCGUCCCGUAUCAGUGGGACCCCGCGGGCCACUGGUACGACACGAAGGAAGGCUUGAAUCGCUUGAAAAAUGGGCAAUCCUUUAUUUAUUGCUGGGCUCAAAACGCUUUGGGGCAAAUCCCUGUUAUUAAUUUAAUAGCAUGCAUGCACUAACUUUCCGGCCACAGCGCACGGCAUGCAAAGCCGCGUCCCAUCCAUUCUGUCCAGUGCAUGCAGCGACUAAACAUCCAGUCUAGUGGAAACCGAAGCAUUAAUUCGAUGCAGUGUUAGGUUACCUCCUAAUAAGACAACUAAUAUGGGAAAAACAAAAAUCUAAUACGACUAUUAAAAUGGAUGGAGAGAGUAUCCACUACCUUGCAACCAUCAUUCCAUUGUUACCAGAUAACAUCUGUGUGAAACGAAGCAGUGUGACUAGUAGCAAAAUGCAAACAUGAUAAUAUAACUUGGAUUUCAGAUGAAGAAGAGUGAAAAAGAAGAGACAAACAGAACUGAAUACAUGCAAUUCUACAUAUAUAUUCUAUUUUUGUCAGUAACUAUGUUCCCCUCCUCUACAUCAGGGGUACUGAAUAUUUUUUUGCCAAGAUAAAUUGUGUCUAAAAUUGUGGGCAUUGUUUAUAGGAACCGUUGUAGUUACAAGAACAUGAUAGGAAUUACAAAUUAACAGUGUAUGCUAACAAAUCAAACAGAAGAUUUUCAGAAACCCUUAAGACCACACUAGGGGCUGUGGGUUGUGAUGGUCCGAUUCGAUUAUUACUUACUGUUAUUGCUAUAGCAGCACUGAAACUGAGCGCCCAAAGCAACUUCUACGAAACACAGGCAUCUAGCAAGCAUAGUUACCUCAUAGGCCUCAAGUACUCGUCUCAUUAUCAAAUUUGCGCUCUCUUUGUCCUUGCAGACAUCAGGAUGGAACUCCUUAACCUGUCACAAGAGCUCAGUGUUAUGUCACUUGGAACAAAGGUUGGGGUGAUGAGCUAGGACAAAAACACAGUAUGGGACUUGUGGCUUAGGGUAUGGAAAUGUAUCAUGCCUACAGUAGAGUCAAGUUUUACAUUUUCUGUGCGAAACGACUUGACACAGACCAAAUAUUUGGGAGUUGGACUGUUAAACUAACUUCACCGCCAUAAUAUUAGGGGGUUGGAUAGUUUGUGUGUAUUCUUCUACUCCCUCCGUCCAGAAAUAAAUAACGUGGAUUUGUAUAAGAAUCUAUACAAAUCCACGUCACUUAUUUCGGAACGGAGGGAGUAUAAGUUAUCGGUUUUGUUAUUUCUUAGGCGACUGAGAAAUAACUAUUUUAUUAGUCGAUAUAACAAUCUUUUGUCAUGCACUGCAUAGUUCCAAAGUGGUAAUUUGGGGAUCUCCCAAUCCUCACCCAACAUAAUAAUUCAAGGAGACUACUUUAGUAUGCUUAAAUGGUAGACGGAUGUGAGCUAAUUCCUUCAGGUAUAACGAACAUUUAGUUCUGUAAUUUCUUGUAGCGUGCAAGUACCAAACAGCUAAAGCUGCUGAGGCACCAUAAAAACGAGCGGUUCCUUACCCGGGCGCGGAAGGCGGCCUUGAGCUGCGACGCAGAGUAGGCGGCCGAGGCGUUGAGGCCGAGGAUCUGGAAGGGCGUGGCGAGCGGGUCCAGUAUCCUCCUCUCGUUUCCCUCGCCGCUGCCGAGCGCCGAGACGGGGAGGGCGCGGCUGCGCCGCGGCGAAGGCAACGGUGCCCUCCGGCCGAAGGGAACCGCGCGGCCGUGCGGCGGGAAGGAAGAGGAAGCCACCGGAGUGGCCAUCACGGGGUUGCUCUGUGUGGCGGGUAAGCGGCGGCGAAGUGUAUCGCGCUCGGUUCCGUGUGUGCGUUUGUUCUUUACGGAAAAACUGGUAACUGUCACCUGUCAACUACUCUCCGUUUUUAAAUAUUCUAAUUUGGCCUAAAAUUAAACUUUUUUAAGUUUAAUCAAAAGAAAAGCUAACCAAUUGAAGAAAAUAAAUAUAUUUAGAGUUAAAGCUGUUCUAUAAAUUUGUCAAUAAGAGAAAGUUAGAACAUGUUAUAUCGUUAUCGUGGAUAUAAGAAUUAUAGUUUUUAUGCCGUGAAAGCCGGAGCUUUGCGAUGCAAUAUUAGAAUGGAAAAACCAAAUAUAUUUACAAGCGACCACGGUCAAAUCAAGAGAAAAAGUCAAAGCCGAAAGAGAGAAAUACCGUCCCAAUGGAUCAAACGCAGCUGAGCGAUAGGGGGGACUAAAAAACCAAAGAACACCAAGAAAACACCAAGAAACCUCACGGCACGGUCCCGUGGUGGAAAGCAAGCCUAUGGGCAGGAGCUGCCAUGGUUUGAAAGAUAUGACCUUUACGCCCCUUCCAAAUGUUCCACGUGAUGUAAAUGACCACCCACCGAAAUAUUGUCUUCUUUCCUUGUCAAUCGUCUUGGAGGGUUGAAUCCACCAAGCACAAGUGUCCCUAUAGUCGGACGGCUUGAUCUGUUGAACGAUGUUGAAGUUGUAGUAGUCAAGUACCUUUUCCCACACUUGGUGAGCAAAAGGGCAUGGAAGAAUUAUGGUUAUGAAUGUAACAAGAGAAGAGAAAAGUAUGCAAACCUCGAGAAGAUGCAAGGGUCGACCUUAAGCGGUGGGAUAUAGUAACCAACUAUUUUGUUGGUCAUACCUCGAUAGUUGAUGGCCUCCGAGAGGUAUGAUGAUGUGCUACUCUAAAUUGGAGGAUCUUCUCCUAGGAUGACGGAUCCAUCGGCAGAACAUGGUUGUGUCCUCCUCUUCGACUGUUAUCGCAUAUAACAUAGUUUCUAUAUUUGUUAGGACCACAUGCAACUCUUCCUCGACUAUGGUGGACGUAAAUUUUGGUGUCUCAACAAAAGGUGAUGUUAAGUGUUAUCGCACGGAAGUGAACUCAAUGAUAAAUCUCGCCAAGCAAGUCGAAUCACUUUUUGAAGUGUCUGAAACCAAGGUUCAAAAAAGCGCUAAGCGAGCAGUGAGGCACCGCUCAGAGGAAUUGAAGUUUAAGCGUUUCAUAUGAGUUUUGCCUGGUGCCGUUAUGUUGCCCGCCUUAGAUGAAUUGGCAGGAUUCUUGGAGGGAAUCAGGAGAAAAUUGAGAAAUUGGCGGGAUCCUUGGAAGAAAUCAAGGUGAAUUGAAGAAAAUGGAUGGAUCCAUGGAGGAAAUAAUGCGGGAGAGAGAGAAGCCGCCCAUGCAUGAGAGAAUUGUGCUAAUGGGCUUAUCAGUGCUUAAGUAGCCACUUAGAGCCUAAGCAAGGCGUUUUCCCAUCGAUAACGCUUUAGCGCGCUUAACCCACGCUUUUUUGAAAGCUGUCUGAAACCAACACACAAACCAUUAUCUCUUAGACGAACAAGAAAAAUAACAUGUGAGAACUUGAUACUAAUUCAAUACCAUGAUUGUAACUUACACAAUCAUGUGGUACCUAUAUCAUCAUCGUGAUUGAAAUUUUUUACCAAAUAGAAUGGUAAAUGCAUCACCAGUACGGUGACACCUUCGUGUAAAAUAAUCGUGACAACUUCUUUAUAAAACAAGUAACACUAGUCAGCAAUGUCGUGUUAUCCCAUCUUUCAUAUAUUAGUGUUUAGAUAUAUAAACAAGUGCUAAAUACUUCAUGGUUUAACACAUCUACAACAGAAAUACACACCAUUACCCUUUCAAACUUGCCAAUUAAAUUUUCAUGUGGUACAUUGUCGUCAUUGAAACAUCGGUAACUCCGUAUACUUUCAGAUAGUAGCUUUUAAGGCCGAAAAACAUACCGGCAUAGUUAAUUUUGAAGGUUCCCAUCGAAACAAAGAAAAUAGCAAAGAUGGAUUUUCCCGUAAAAAAAUAGUAAAAGACGUCUCAUAAAUCGAGUACAUGACUUACGAGUUAAAAUAUGUUUGAAUUCCAAAUUCACAAAGGCAUAAUCACUUUUGUUUGUUGGUGCGCCGUGCAUGCAUCUCCACAUGUCCUAGUCAUAGGCUCAUAGCCCCUUGUUUCUUGCUCUCCUCCACUUUGCACACAUCAACAACAAAUCCCUGACGACCUGACUGACUCAGUCCAAAUUCAAAAUACUCCCUCCGUCUCAAAAUAAGUUUAUACAAAACCAAAUAACUUUAUUUUGAGAUGGAGGGAGUAUUUGGUUUUCUAACCGGGGUUUGCUGAAAUCAAUUGGAGGUUUUAAGAGUAAGCGCAUAAAAUUGAUUUGGGUAGUGUUUGGUUGAGGAGACGAAGCAGAGCCACAACCGAAUUUUCACCCGCGUGAUAAACCCAAGGGGAAAUUGGCUGGAGAACACCGUUAUUUUGUGGCUUUUGCCGAAACACACCGUCGAAAUGUGUCUUUGUCCAGUAUCAUUAUAAUUUCGUGGACAUUUGCCACGACACAUUGUAUGGUCCAAAACAGAAAGUUUGACUUUUUUUCACAUUGAAUUAUCAUUCUACCUUUAGCAAAUGUGUCUGGAAUUUUGCAAACUCUUUGUCAGAAGCAUUUUCCUCUCUUGCAGAGUGCAGCAAGAAAGGGGACGAAUGCCCACCUCAAUCAACAACGAACCCUAAUACAUGUCAAAUAUCGAUUCGUACAAAGGAAAAAAGUGUUCAAAAUCGGAUUUAUGAUGAUCGUCGCCCAAGUAAAAAUGUCAAAUUCUCAAUUUCAGUUGAUGUAAUGUGUUAGCAAAUGUCCACGAAAUUGUAAGGGCAUUUCCAAUGGUUGAUACUAAGCAGGUACUAGUCUGAUGUGGCGGAAAAAUAGAUAGAAAAGAAUAAUACCUGUUACUUGCAGAAGUAACAGCCUCUACACAGGAACCAAGAACAAAAGAAGGAUGACAUGUGGGUCCAUUAAGAAUAGGAAGUGAAUAAAAAAGAAGAAGAGAGAAAUCAUAAAAUAAAAAUUAGUAAGGGUUUGUUGUUGAAGAUGGGGGUGGCUAAUCAGCGGAGCUCCGCCAGAUCCCGUACCGGCGGACGAGUUCAGACCAGCUUCCCGCGGGUGGUCCCGCGUCCUUUCCUCACUGCUUUCUUCCAUGCUCGUGCUCGGCCGCGUGAUGGGCCUUCUGCUAGAGCCCAACGACCACAAGCAGGUUCAUGUGAUGUCCGAGAUGGAUCACCACAGGCGGAUCAGCGUGAGGAGGAAGAAAGGGAAACGAACAGGAGGGGAGAGCAGAGGGAGGCUAGAUUGAAUUAGGGCAUAUAGUUUGUUACAACUCGAUACCCUUUCUGUCUCUAACUCCUUUCUACUUACGAGAGACUCACUCACAGCCUUACAUGGGCCAAGCCCAGCCUCCAUGGUGCACAGCACCUACGGCCCACUCACACCUGAGUCCUUUGCCAGAUUAGUCAGAGUAACAGACCCUGCACUGUGACAGUUCAGCCUUUUCUCUUUUCCCGUUUUUCUUUUUUCUAUUUCAGAAAAGUGCUGCUGCUGGGCUUUUUUUCUCACCUUUUCCCUUUCUGGGAGAGUGGUUUUUAGGAAAUUAAACGGGUGGGGAAAAGCACUUUCAAUCAAAAAGACUAGGCGCUUUCAAUCAAGAAGAAUAGACGCUUUCAAUCAAAAAGACUAGGCGCUUUUAAUCAUAAUGGUAUUUUACAAAAUCACAUCGGAAAGGUUUAUUUGCCAAAUUUUUAUGUCUUCCCUGACAGAUAUUCAAACUUUUUUGAAAACUGACAUAGAACUUCCAGAUUUAUAAGGGCAAACCCUGCUGUUUUGAGAGACAAACAAACAGACACAUCGCAAAGUAUUUGAUGGUUUCUACCGAAAAGAAAUAAAAAUCUGACAUAUGAAAAAGGGAUCCGCAUGUGUUUUGCCAUGAAUCAUAAGCUAUGUUAACCCAUAUCAGUAAUAAAAUUUUGCAAUGUCUAGGAACUGAAUGUGCUAUCUCCGACCCUUCAGUUUCUCAAAAAGUUUGACUUCAUAAAAAAUGUCCCCCCCCCCCCCCCUAUGUCCAUGGGGAAUAGCCUGGUGUCUACAAAAAAAAAUGAAGAGGAGAAACAUCUGUUCAGUAAAAUAAUUGUCAUAAAAAACAGUAUGGAAAAAAUGAAUUGAAAUAAGUGUAUGUAAACAUCGAAGUUCCCAUUUACAAAAAAAAUACCUUGUAAUCAAAAGGAACAUUCUGCAGGGGUGUAAUCAAGAGAACAAAAAAGAAUGAAGAGUUAGCCAAUUUUGUAAAGGAAAACCUUUGAAAAUGAAUUGCUAAAUAAAAUACACAAAAAAAAGGAGGCAUGUGAGACUUACAUGCUUAGACAGGAUUUCCUUUGUUUCUGGCAUCAAACACUCAUUACAUGGAUGCGCAAUCAGGUAAUAUGUUAGCAUUUCCUGUAAUGCCUUUGCCUUUUCCUGCCAGAAGGAAAAGGAGAGUUCGAACAAGUAUUUGAACUUGCUGCAGUUCCACCGUAGUUUGCGGAAGAAAACCGAGUCUAUCCCAGCUGCCCUAUACUAUUUGUUUAAUCGAAUAUGUUGUAAGCAAUUAAGAAGAAAAAAUUGAACUUACUGGCUCAAAACAUAAAAUAGUAUCUCCAUCAUGGCUUUGGAUAAGUUUCAUGACAAAAAUACCGCUAUCAGCCCUGUAAACAAAAUAAAAGGAUAAAAAAUAAUAACAAAAGUUAGAAGAUUUUUAUACACAGAGAAAUGACCGGAUUAAAAAAAACUGAACACCGAAACGAAUGGAUAAUUACUCUUUUAUUGAGUAUGAAACACUGCGGAACUUUGUGUCCAUGUCAAAAACAUUGACUUGAGCUCUUGGGUUGGCUAUCCUAAAAGCGUUCUUGAAGUUCCUAACAACCGUGUUUGCUUCAUCACAAAUGAGAUCAAUCUUGUUAUUUGGGUGCAAAAUCUCAAAGACCUUUUUCCUGAAGUUUGCAACCAUGAGAUACCAAAAGCCAUAUGUGGACAGUGGUAGUAGUAUCUGUUUCGGAACAAGUCAUAAUAAAAGAACAAAACAUGCUUUAAUGACGCAGCCAACAAUGUAAAACUAUAACAAAGCUGCGCAUAUUUUUGAUAAUAUGUACCAUAUCAAUGCCGCCAAGUCGACAACCCGUCAAGUAGUAUCUGUUCAGUCAGAUGUAUGGACAAUGCAGCUGGAUUUCAAAAGCCUUCUGGAACAAAGCCUGAGUAUUGAUAUUGAAGAAAAAGAUUGAGAAAUUUGUUAAGAACUGUGUAGGAUAGUGUUUGAGAAAAAAAUGCAGCUGCCAUUAGUAUCUUGUCCAAUAUGCUUGAGGCAACAAGUCACACUUUUCCCUCUCUUGCUGUUCAACUAUUACUGCUGUCCCCAUCAUAUUCAUGAUAUGCUUAUUGAUUCUACCAUAGACAUUCAUGUUUAGCCCGAAGGUUUUGUGGUCUACCCAAGUUGAACCAAUUUUUAUUAUUUUUGGGCUGAAAAAACAGGGGGGCAACAGGUGAUUAGAAAAGCAUCGUAAGCUACUGACCUAUGCAUUUGAAGCCAUAGUUAAACAGGUUUAAAAUAAACAAAAAUCAAGGUAAGAAAUGCACGAUGAUGUGUAGUAUACAGACCUCCUGUUGCGAUAUGGUAUCCGUUCAAUAAUAUCAUUAUAGACAUCCUUUUCCACAGCAUUAGAGCUGAAGUUGCAGUGUAUAUUGCUUGGACUUAUUUCAGAUAUUUGAAUUCCUUGGCUGGCUGGCGUGCUAAUUGUUUUUGUGCAUAGUACUCUUUCGCAAGCAAGUCUGAGGAUUUCAAGAUUUCACUCAUCGUCUCUUCAUCAUUCCAGGAGUCAUCAACCACAUUAUGACCAAAAGGUGUUGAUGCUUUGUUUGAGACAAGUUCAGUGGGUGUUGCAUCGUUUCCCUCGAACAUUUUUAUCCUCUUCUUUGGUGCAAUGCAUGAAGCGCUCAUCUCGUUGAGAGAGACACAUGUUGACCUUUUUCUGUCCUUUACAGUACAUGCCUUGGUGCUUGUACUGCCAUGCUGCAGUGAUUCUUUUUGGCCAUCAAACGAACUGUCUAAAUCACAGCUUGCUUCUUUGCAUCCUGGGAAAAGCUCAGUCUUGUCUAUCCUUGAUGCUCCUAUUCCUUCUGCAUUUCUCCUUUCCCAAUGAGAUUCCCAAUAGCACUGUGUAUCCAGAGACACAUAAGAAGCUAGAUUAAAUGAUUCUGAACUUUCAGUAUGACUCAUCGUGAUGUCAAUUCUCUCUGGUAGCAUUGAAUCAAUAAUCUCACGGUUUGGUGGAGGCAGAUCCAAACAAACAGGAACUGGUAUUUCAUCACAGAAAUGAAUAAGGUUCCCCAGGUCUGGAAUGAUGGAAUAUUCAUUAUCUAACUUACACAGUUCUUCGCUUCUUAUUUCUGGCAAUUGGACAGACUCUUUCAUCAAAUCAUCCAAAAUGUUUGUUGUCAGGCUUGUAUCCUUUUUGUCUAACGAACCGACUGAUGUGUCUUUAAGACUUGUUGAUUUUGGUAGCUGCACUAAUUCAUGUUCCAUUGCUUCCACCCCAGGCUGUGUAUUAAGAUGCAUUGCUUCCUGUUUUGCACUUUCCACCCUGGGCUGAGAAUUUGAUUGGAUGAUGGCAUUUUCUGCACUUGAGACGCCUGGUGUUUCAAAAGCUGACGAAUGAGAGCACCAAGGCUUCAUAGGUGUCUUGAUUUCGUUUAGGUUGGCCAUAGUUUCAGCAUGUUGAGCUGGGUCUUCAGCUGGGAGUGCGGCUGCAGCAGAUGAAAACAGUUUCACCAUCUGAAUUAUAUUCUUGGUUACAACUGGUUGAAUUGAUGCUAAAAUCUCUGUAUAGAGAUUGUCCAUUAUCCUCGGAAUCUCAUUUAUAACCUAGUAAACAAACCAAAGUGUGAACGGUUGAUGUUAAAGGCUGAAUACCAAAUGCACUAUGCAGUGAGUUAUUUUUUAUAAAAGCUCAGUGGGUCUGGGAGUUAAUAGCUGAUUGUUACAAUGCUAAAACUUCAUCAUAAGAUCGCUAAAAAAAGCUCAUGGUGAGAUCAUCGAAAGCUCGUCAUGAACUUGCUAGUCCCAGCAUGCAAAAAAGUUAGUUAUCUGAAAACAACAGAGAAGUCACUUGCAGCUUGAUUCCAGGUAAACAACAGAGCCUGAACUGAAACAUGAGCACUUGCAACAGCAGUAAACUUAGAAUAGACAAUUUAUUCAGAGUUCAAUGACGCCACAGGAAAAACACACACAAGAAUCACAACAAAAACACACAGGGUAAGAAAUUUGUAUCAUUCUACACCAAACAUCCGGAGUCAUGUAUCGUGACUGAAAACCAUUGUAAUUUGUGUUGGAACUUUCGCACUCAUUCUACUGGAGUUUCGCAUUCUACCCAAAAAAACACUCAUGUUGUAUCAUCCUGGAUUUAUUCAGAUGUCAGUCAUGUCAGAGGUGAAAGGAGUGUACAACCGAGUGUAUGUAAAACACCAGCGACGCAGCAGCUAUUGAAAAAGGGAAGGUUCCCAGUACUUGACCUUGGAAUGACCGGGCCCGAGAAAAUCCGGCGAGGAGAAGCUCCGCGAAUCCAGAAACCUAGAAACCCCCCGACGCGACGAUGAGGACUCGGUCCGCUCUUGGAAUCACGGAGUCAGCAGCCACCCACGCUGGCGACUCGCCUGAACGAUUGAAAAAAUCCCCAACGCCGCCUCCCACCAGUGCCACCGAUAAAACCUCACGGAUGGAAGAAGGCAGCCUCCGUCCACAGCGCCGAGGAUUUGGAAGACCUGUGGAGAGAAUCUGCGAUGGAACAUUCUGCAGGGGUGUAAUCAAGAGAACAAAAAAGAACGAAGAGUUAGCCAAUUUUGUAAAGGAAAACCUUUGAAAAUGAAUUGCUAAAUAAAAUACACAAAAAAAAGGAGGCAUGUGAGACUUACAUGCCUAGACAGGAUUUCCUUUGUUUCUGGCAUCAAACACUCAUUACAUGGAUGCACAAUCAGGUAAUAUGUUAGCAUUUCCCGUGAUGCCUUUGCCUUUUCCUGCCAGAAGGAAAAGGAGAGUUCGAACAAGUAUGUCUUAAGGAUAGUGAGAUCAUCGAAAGCUCGUCAUGAACUUAGAAGAAAUAAUAGGAAAGCAUGUCUUAAGGAUGCUUGAAAAUCAAAAGCACACGAUGUGUUCGUUAAAAGCUCAUCAUGGGAUGCUUGAAAAAAGCUGAUCGCUAGAGUGCUAAAAGCUUAAGGAUUUUCAAAAAUGAAAAGAAAUGUACAAGAAUUGUUUAAUAAAAAAUUCAUCAUGGCAUCAUAAAAAAAAGCUCGCUAUUAGAACAUUAAAAGGACAUGAUGCGUUCGUUAAGAAUCUCAUUAUAGAAAAGAUAAAAAGCUCAAUGGUUUUUGUAAAAUUAAAAGUUCAUGGUGCGUUCGUUGAAAGCUAAUCAAGGACACUUAAAAGCUGAUUGUUUGAAUGCUAAAACUUCAUCAUAAGAUCGCUAAAAAGCUCAAUGGUUUUAGGAAAAAUUAAAAAGCUCAUGACGCCUUCGUUAAAAAAGCUAAUCAAGGGACACUUAAUAGCUGAUCGUUAGAAUCCUAAAAGCUCAUCAUAAGAUCGCCAAAAAGCUCGAUGCUUUUUAGGAAAAAUUAAAAGCUCAUUGUGCGUUCGUUAAAAGCUGAUUGGUAGGAUGCUAAAACUUCACCAUAAGAUCGCUAAAAAGCUUAUUGGCUUUCCAAAAAAUUAAAAGUUCAUGGUGCGGUCAUUGAAAGCUAAUCAAGGACACUUAAAAGCUGAUUAUUUGAAUGCUAAAACUUCAUCAUAAGAUCGCUAAAAAGCUCAAUGGUUUUAGGACAAAAAAAAGCUCAUGAUGCGUUCGUUAAAAAGCUAAUCAAGGGACGCUUAAAAAUAGCUGAUCGUUAGAAAACGCUAGUUGUUAAAAGCUAAUCAACGACACUUAAGAUCGCUAAAAAGUUCGUGGUGAGAUCAUCGAAAGCUCGUCUUGAGCUUAGAAAAAAUAAUAGGAAAGCAUGUCUUAAGGAUGUUUGAAAAUCAAAAGUGCACGAUGUGUUCGUUAAAAAGCUCAUCAUGGGAUGCUUGAAAAGCUGAUCGCUAGAGUGCUAAAAGCUUAAGGAUUUUUAAAAAUGAAAAGAAAUGUACAAGAAUUGUUUAAUAAAAAAUUCAUCAUGCAUCAUUAAAAAAGCUCGUUAUUAUAACAUUAAAAGGACAUGUUGCGUUCGUUAAGAGGCUCAUUAUAUAUAAGUUAAAAUGCUAAUUGGUUUUUGAAAAAAUUAAAAGUUCAUGGUGCGUUCGUUAAAAAGCUAAUCAAGGACACUUAAAAAGCUGAUUGUUAGGAUGCUAAAACUUCACCGUAAGAUCGCUAAAAGCCUUAAUGGUUUUUGGAAAAAUUAAAGGUUCAUUAUGCGUUCGUUAAAAGCUAAUCAAGGACACUUCAAAGCUGAUUGUUUGAAUGCUCAAACUUCAUCAUAAGAUCGCUAAAAAGCACAAUGGUUUUGGGAAAAAUUAAAAAGUUCAUGGUGCGUUCGUUAAAAGCUAAUCAAGGACACUUAAAAAAGGGUGAAUGUUAGGAUGCUAAAACUUCACCAUAAGAUCGCUAAAAAGAUUAAUGGUUUGGGGAAAAAUUAAAAAGUUCAUGGUACGCUCGUUAAAAAGCUAAUCAAGGGACACUUAAUAGCCGAUCGUUAGGAUGCUAAAACUUCACCAUAAGAUCGCUAAAAAGCUUAAUGGCUUUUUGGAAAAAUUAAAAGUUCAUGGUGCGUUACUUGAAAGCUAAUCAAGGACACUUAAAAGCUGUUUGUUUGAAUGCUCGAACUUCAUCAUAAGAUCGCUAAAAAGCUCAUUGGUUUUAGGAAAAUUAAAAAACUCAUGCUGCGUUCGUUAAAAGCUAAUCAAGGGACACUUAAUAGCUGAUCGUUAGAAUCCUAAAGGCUCAUCAUAAGAUCGCUAAAAAGCUCAAAAUGGUUUUUAGGACAAAUUAAAAGCUCAUGAUGACAUCGCUAAAACUCUCAUGAUGAGAUUCUUAAAAAAAUAAAAAUAUAAACCUGAAAGUUAAAAGCUCAAUGGAUCUCAUUGUGAGACACGCUUGCAUGCGGACAUGUACUGCUGCACAAAAGAAACGAUGAUUUUUUUUAUUUUUAAACAAAUGGUGAAAUUCUCUGACCAAAAUAUUAGAUUGACAAGCUUUUUGUUUUGAUUCAUUAUCACUCUACCGAGACAUGCAUAUGCAUUCCUUGAGGCUUACAAUGUAAAAAAAUUGGAAAAAAUGAAAGUACUACAUGUAACAAACACAUAAUAAGCAUAUUCAGCCCAAAAAAAAUGAGAAAAUGAUCCAAAGAGAUGCGAUUGAUGUCAUACCAUCUUCUGGUUCUGCUGUGGCACAGCUGACAUGAUGAAUUGUUGGAACUCACGGUAGGAAUUGCCUUGAAGCAGAAUGUUCCUAUUCAAGAUGUCCAUGCUGAAUGGUGUUUGAGACACAUCCUUCACCUUUUUUUUCAUAUUAUGGCACAGAGGAAAAACAAAAAAAAUGUAAGCACUUGUUUGGUUACAGCUGAGGCGCAAAAAAUAUGAAGUUGUAUUACAAAAACAAGAGGUUUAUUAAAUCUUUUGAGAAGAAGUACACAAAAGACAGGGCAAAAAAGACAUGCUGAAGAUAUAUGUAAAUACAGUACCGGUAGCUUUCCAUAAAUUUGCAGAGGGAAGCUCAUACAGUCCAUCCUUUCAUAUUCAGAUAUCAUCUGAGUUGUCCAUAGAGAGAGGCGUGGCAAGGUAGUUGUCGCUUUCAUUAUAUUGAUGUCUAUAAACUCGAAAUACAAGAUCUGUACAACUGAAAACAUAAGAAGAAUUAUGGUCUCAAAAAAGAGUGAAGGUGGGAGGUGCGUACAAAACUGUAAUUUACAAGAGCUGAAGAAUCACAUACCACAAUUGAUAGCAGAUUUCCGCCUAGUACCGAUGUGCCGGCUUUCUGCCAAUUUUCAAUUGAUAGCACAAGCUUGUCUAGUGCUGCUGUACACCAAUCGAAUGAAGCUAUAUUAUCUGGAUCUUCAAGGGCGUGAUAGUACUCGGGACUAGCUGCUCCAUGACUUGAAGGGCAGAUAAAUGUAGCAAGCACGAACAUAAGGAACACUCUUUUGAACAAAUCACCACCUAGGCCUGGGGUAAUCAUCUUCUCUAGCUCUGCUAUGGUGGGAAAGUUUCCUUUGCAGUUGGUUUGCUCGGCAAUUAAAGUUCGCAUCUGAGCAGUGCACUUCUCAACUUUUCUUCCUCCCAAUGGGAUACCUAAUAUUUGGUGCAUACAGAAUGGUGUCACAUGGAUUUUUAGCCCAUUAGGCAGUUCAAAAGUCCUAGUGUGUACAUUGAAAUAACCGGCCAUCCACAGAGCAACACCGCGUGGCAGCGUGUCACAUGCGAUAUCCAAAACAUUCUCAAAAUCCAUGCUCCGAACAAGCUUUUGCUGUUCAAGUGUUAAACGAACAGCAACAGCCAUAAAUUUUGGCAGUGUGAGUUUAGUCGCAAAAGUCUGCAAAAAAUUCAGAAAAAGAAAAACACAACAUGCAUUAAUAAAAAGCACCUCCUCGCCAAAAAUGGAAAAUCUCAAUGGUAACAGAUUUUAUUUUAAACAAUACGAGAUGUGCACGUACUGUCUUAUCAUGCUGUCUGUCAGCCAUGUUAGAAGUAUUGCAGCCACUGUGGAAAACAAAUCCUGGCUACCACACCAUCCUUAAAAAUCUGUGAAGAAAAAAGAAAGAGUUAUACAACAGUAUACCAAAAACUGCCAAUGUUGGCACCAGCUCGCCGGCGCCUACACGGAUACAUCUAUUAGACAGAUACGGACACACGGAUGCGUAAUUUUGAAAAAAAAAUAACGAUACAUGGAUAUGUUUGAGUAAUUUUGUCAUGAUGAAAUGAAGUUCAAGUUCAGCAAUGCAUGCAAGCGCAAAAACACAUAGCAAAGGUAGCACACACAAACCGAAACAGUAGGGUCUACUUAUGUACUUGACAACUUCUAUUGUUAUACAACAUAGCAAAUUACAAUUAGGAGAUUAAAUUUUAGCUUUCGUCUUCCAACACAACAGUAGCUUCCCCCCAAUUUCUCCACAAAAAUUUCAUUUCCAUUAAGCAAUUCCUCCCCCCAGAUCGAAGUUUCUCUAAAAUAGUUACAUGAUACCACAACGGGGCCCUGGUGUUGGUACAUACCCCUCUUAAUUUGACUUGGAGUUGGAGUAGAACAGGUUGCCAUGAUUCUCUUAUGGAAACCAAGGAGGAGGAGGGAGGGGGAGGAGGAGGAAGAGGAGGCGCAGAUUAGGAGAGGGCUGCUGCCCUAAGCAGUUGAGGGAGACUGGGAAAGGGGGACUGACCAAGAUCUGCAGGGGGGAGGGCGCGCGACGCUGCAGUGGUGCCUGCGGAAAUGGAGAUCUCGCCGCUCCUCCUGCUGGUCACGGCUGCAACGAAAGGGGGGCAGAAGAGCGGAGAUAGGGGCUCUCGGGAUGGGAGCCUAGUUUUGAAAACCGGACGGUUAAUCGAACCGGCGAGGCUCUCGGUUCGGGUUUUUUCGGUCGAUGGUUUUUAAGAUAUAAAAUAAUCUAUUUUAAGUAAAUAAUGCAAAAACAAGAUAAAAAUCCCGGCCGGUGGCCGGCGCGGGGGCGGGGAGGCUCGCGGGACCGAAGGCGGCCGGUGCAAGGGACGGCGAGGCGUGGGCAGCCGGCACGGAGGGCGGCGAGGCGCGCGGCGGCCGGAGCGGCCGGCGAUGGUGGCGGCGGGAUGAGGGAGGGAGACGGCGAAACGGGGAACGGCAGGUGAACCGGGCGGUUCGAGCCAAAUCGCCCGGUUCGCCUGGUUUUUUCGGUCUGCUUGGUCCGGUCCUGUGGGCUAAAUAGACCGUUGGGAGCUGCGGUUCCGGUUUUUUCCGAUCGGACCGCCGGUCCGGUACGGUUUUCAAAACUAGGGAUGGGAGUGGUAAGGCAAAGGGUUUAAUUGUAAAUGGGCCGGGCUGUGUCCUUAGACUCCCACAUAAAAGGGUUUUCGUCGAGUGGAAGGGCGAAAAUGCAAAAAGGGAUUAUUUUUUUACUUACCCCCUUCCCCUACCUCCAGACACAGGCGUGGCCCGAUGCUGUCUCCACGCAUCUGCCGCCAUAUCCGGCGAUCAAUCCGUCCGAUGAAUACACGGAUCUAGAAAGGGAGGAGUCAGGGGGAUCUCCACCGAUCUAGUUUGGCAAAUUUUGACAACCCCGCCCCCCUCAGCUGUUUCCUCCCCUCCGAAUUGCAGUGAACAAAAAAGGUACGAUCCCAAACUGAUCUGAUACUGCAAACAGAGCAUGCAAAAACAUUAGCCCGUGUGUACAUGGCAAUCAAUAGGAUUGGUACUUUGAAGAACAACUGCGAAACAACUGAUCUGAUAAGCAUUCAUGAAUUCCCAUCCAGAUUUAUAUCAUACAGAACGAGUGUGUUUAGCCCGUGUGUUUAUACUCAAUUGCAUAUCAAGAAAAACACAAAAGAAAAAAAGCUUGGGCAUCAAAGGUCUCCCCAAAACGAAAUAGUAAAACAAUGUCUUCGGCUUCAUUUUGCUUUAAAGAUCUUCUCGUUCUGCACCACUGCUUUUUUCGGCUUUAUUCUGCACAAAAACAACAUAUAACAGAUAAAUAACCAUGAAAGAAAACUAAACAAUUAAAAAAGGCAUAAUUCUUGACAAAAAAUAAACAGAUAUAAUAACAUGAUUUUCAGUAUUUCAUUUUUUAUUUUGUACCAGAUGGACAUAAUGGGCAGCCACCUAGUGGAUGGAGUGAUUGGGCAAAACAGUCAAGUGAUGGAUCGAGUUUCCUUCAGAACGAAGCAAUUCACAAAGCCGCGUACCCUAGAAUUGUUUGUUGAGGUAAAAUUUCUUUUAUAUAAAUGUCAUAUCUACCAUUUAAAAAGACAGGAAGGAACACAUAAAACUAACAUGUCUCUCUCCCAAACAAAACUGUAAAAUAAAAUGUAGUCAUUCGUUAUGAGACGAAGGAUAAGGGAAGAAACUCAGUCAAUUCAAGAGUUAGAGAUGGUGCAGUCAAUGCUAGAUGGGACAGACACCCACGUACAGCAUGGUGGUGUCGAUUCAGCAUCACAAGAACAGGACAAGGUAUGUGAAAUAAGAAAUUCCUAUUUCUUUUGUGAUUUAAAUUCCAAUUGAGUACAGGUUUUGUACAAGUGCAGACUGUAUAACAGUAGCUAUUUGUUUUGUGAUUUAAAAAGAUUUAAAUUCCAAUUGAGUACAGGUUUUGUACAAGUGCAGACUGUAUAACAGUAGCUAUUUGUUUCGUGAUUAAAAUAUAAUGAUGCAGACUAUCAUGGGGAGGCAAGAAAAUGAGCAAAGACAGGAGAACAUGGGUGCCCCCGAUGCAGCUGUUAAUAGAAGGAAACCAGAUUGUGCGCCAAUGCCAUUUGACUUGAAUGCUAAUUUAUUUGAGAACGGAAAUGAAGAGGAAGAAUAUCUAGAGCGUUCACAUGACGAUGUUGAACAGAAUAGUGAGGUGCAAUUCCCGGAGCAGUCGUAUGAGCAUGCUGAAAUGACAGAUGAAGCAACUAAUCAUGUGCAAUUUGCUGAUCAAGCAAGGGAUGACCAGGGGAUUGAGGAAGGGCUAUUUCCUGACCCAGUCACAAAUGAAGAAAAGGAGAUGGACCGGAUGUUUGAAGCUGAUAACUACCCUGCCAUCCAUGAAAUUAUUCAAGCUCGUGCCCCACAAGAUGGAAUGGUGUUUGAUUCGCUGGAAGAAGCUUUCCGUUUUUUCACAGUGUAUGAAAGGCGUGUUGGCUUUGCGGUGAAGAAGGACAGCAGUUAUAGAUCAAGGAAAACUGGGCAAGUUCAGCGGAUUGAGUUCACAUGUAAUAAGCACAGGGGCCAUAUAAACACAGACUCAGCAACGAGGCAGAGAAGAAGCAACAAGAUUGAAAGAACAGAAUGCAAGGUACUGAUGAGAUUAAAGAAGGAUGACUGUAAGUGGGUGGUAUAUAGUGUUAAUCUUCAGCAUAAUCAUGAUCUUGCACCGAGUCAGUGGCUUGUCAGGUUUAUGAGCUGCCACAAAAAAAUGUCCCCUGCGGACAAGCAUUUGGUUGAGAUACUUCAGGAAAGCAGGGUCCCCCCAAGGAAAGUAAUGUCUAUUUUCAGGUCAAUGAGAGGAAGCUUCAGAAACAUUCCGUUUGAUGCUAAGUAUGUUUCCAACAUGAUGUACCAGGAAAGAUUGAAGCAUAAGAACAGAGAUAUCAAGGAGCUGCUACAGAAAUUCAAAGAUGUGCAGAAGAAAACAAAAAGCUUUUACUACACGCUGCAAAUUGAUGAGGAUAACAAUGUUAGGAGUGUAUUCUGGACAGAUGUCAUGGGCAGAGCAGAUUACAAGAUGUUUGGGCAGUUUCUCUCAUUCACAACAUAUACAAUAUGCCCUUUGCACCACUGAUUGGGGUUGAUAACCAUGGAAAGACAGUGCUGUUUGGUGCAGCGCUCCUGAAGAACGAGACAGCAGACACAUUCAGGUGGUUGUUCAAAGAAUUCCUGGAAGCCAUGGGUGGGCAGCAACCAGAAACGGUGAUAACGGACCAGGAUACUGCAAUGAAGUGCACUAUUGCUGACAUGCUACCAAACUCAACCCAUCGUUUUUGCAGCUGGCAUAUUCAGAAGAAGAUGAAGGAGAAGCUUGUAUCUUUCUUUGCUAGUAAAGGUACUUUGCAUGCAGACAUCUUAACAUAUUAGCAAAUCAAGAACAGAAGAAUAUCUCUGCAAGCCUAGACUGCAGAAAACAGCACCAAAAACGGCAGACCAAAAAGAAAACAAAAACAGGCACUAAUAGAAACCUUGCAGACAGAAAUACAAGGAAAACAUAGAGGUUCAUAAAUAAUUCCCUGAUCAACAUGUUUGUCAAUGCACCCAUACUUCGCAUGUUCAUGUUCACCAUUUUGGUUAGUCACAGGUGGAGAAUAUUCAGAAAACGAGUCUGGCAGCUGGUGACUUCUGGGGACCAAGAUCGACUAAAAGGUAACAGUUCCAUAUAAACAUGGCUCUAGUAACACACUUCGCAGGUGAAGAUCAAGAACACAGGGUGUAGGGAAUCUUAUUGAGGAAAAUGUAACAAUGAUGAGGAGAAGCAAUAUCAGAAGACACCACCCAUCUGCUCAAAAUAAUUGUGUAUUUUCAUGUUAGAGAAAGGAACAUUCUUCAUAAUGAUGUAGAACAAAACAAAAAAAUUGUCAAUGAACACACACAUUCAGGAGUUUCUUAAUAUAACAGAAAAUAUGGCAGGGCAUUUAAGUAUUGUUGGGACAGAAAAUUUUGAGUAAACAUUGUAGAUAAGUGUAACAGAACGCACAUGCACUAUGGCCUAUGGAGGUAGCUAGAUUGAAGAAAGACGGAAAACACAAUUGAGGGUAAUCCUAGAAGUGGCAAGGAACCGCAGUGUUGGAAAGGGUUACGUGGCAAUCUGAGAAGGUCCUUUUUUUUAGUUCUUGAUACGAGUCCAUGUCAAUGAGUAACAGAUUCGAAGGAAAUUCCAAAUGCCAUGGAUUUAUGAUGGGGAUUUUUGCGGGGAAAAUUCAUAUGGCUCUUAGUUUUAAAAAAAAAUACAGAUGGGGACUGAUGAUUUUGUUUAUUUUUACAUGCGAGUUGUUAGCAAGCUGUAUCACUCUAUUUUUACAUGUAAGUGAUUAGCAAGUUGCAUAGCUAAAGUGGUCAGCAAGUUGUAUAACUAAAUAGAAAUGAAGUGAGAAAGCAACAAUUUUCUGCAGUCCAUAUAGGGAUCAUCUGUGAGGAACUGAAUACUGCCUAGUCCCGUGACUUCUGAUUACCAAGUGGCAAGUGCAAAACGUACAACAUUUACCACUUUACAAAGACCGAUAACUAAUUAGGAACAACCAUAAUGAUUGAUUAUCCAAGGGUAAAAUAACUAGCUUUUCGCUAUUAUCUUUAGACAUGAACCAACAAGCACAUACGUGUUAAGCAACAAUGGCAUAGCCAUUCUGAAAAUUGAUGUAUAAUUUACCAAGGGUCCACAUUACGCAUAAGAGUUGGACAAAGUUGCUUGUUGGAUACUACUACCAAAGACCUUAAACAUUUGCGUUGUAUUUCAGCAUCUGUAAAAACAAAGAACGUACCAUGAUAGCCUCAAUCUCUUCCUCAGAGAGUGGUUUGCGUUUGGGAAGCUGUGAAGCUGGCCCUCCAACAGCAGUAUGAGAAGGUGGGGAAGGCACAUCUGAUUUAAAGCGGUAAUUUUUUUUCUCUCCAGAAGGUGGUGCGUCUACUUUAGCUCCUGAAAAUGAAAUUGUUAGUUACACUCCUUUCUAUGUAUUAUGAGGAAGGGACUAUGUAAUACUUCCUCUGUCCCAUAUUAAGUGUUACAACUUUGUCUAAAUAUGCAUGUACCUAUACACUAGGAGUAUCACCAGCAAAGCUCCUCUUUGCCGGCGGCUUUUUGUCGGGCCGCCAGCAAAGUCUUUGCCGGCGGCCAAAACAACGGCCGUCGGCGAAGUAAAGUAACUUCACGGUUUUGACUUGUUAACGGCGACGCCGUCUCGCCGCGUGGGCCCCGCUCGUCAAGCCUUUGCCGGCGGCCCCGAGGAAAAGCCGCUGGCAAAGAAGGGUGACGUGGCGUGAGCGCGCCGUGCCGCGCGUCACCCAUGCCGGGCCCGCUCGUCAGGCCUUUGCCGGCGGCCCCGAGGAAAAGCCGCCGGCAAAGAAGGGCGAGGUUUUUGCCGGCGGCCACGAGGAAAAGCCGCCGGCAAAGAUUACUCUCUUUGCCGGCGGCCAUCCACUUAGGCCGCCGGCAAAGGAUCCCCGCAGGCAGCACAGGCAGCCGCCACGUGGCGGGUUUGCCGAAGGGAGGCCGCCGGCAAAGAGGGUUAACCCUUUUUUUAAUUUAUUUUCUGUUUAUCCCAGCAAUUAAAAUCAUAUAUAACACAAUUAAAAUCAUAUAUUUCCAUGGCCGGCGGGCGGCCAUGGCCUCCGAGCUCCAUUUUUGGAGCUCCGAAGGCCGGCGAGCUCUGAUUCUCGACCCCGAAGCUUCCCUCUCCCUCUCGAUCUAUCUCGCCGGCCUCCAAUUUCUCUCUGAAGUUCCCCAAUUCCAAAUUUUUGAGCUCCGGCGGCCGCCAGCCAAAAUGUGGCCUCCUCGUCGUCGCCUGGAGCUUCCCUCUCUCUUGCGAGCUCUCUCUCCCUCCCGAUCUUUCUCGCCAGUCUCCAAUUUCUCUCCGAAUAUCUCUAAUUUCAAAUUUUUAGUUAGCUCCGAUUAAUUAACACCUUAAUCCCCUUGUCAAUGAUUAGGCUAACUAUUUUGCUUUGUUUGUUUUCUUGUGUAUUGUGUUGUAGAUCCAAAGACCGUUCUUGGAUGUACGCCAAAAAAAAAAUCAAUGUCGGCGUCUUGGGGCUGCACAACAUCAUCAGCUCCUACCCGUCCCUGCGACGAGUGGGGGCUGAUGUCCGACUCCUCUGCCCGGGCCCCGCGUCCCCCUCCACCCGCAACCUGGGGGAAGCGGGCACUCGUGGAGAGUGGGGCAGAAUCGAAGCUCAGCUGGCCCGACCUAGAGUCCUCUAGCGACGAGGCGGGCCAGGUUGCCGGGGUCCGAGCGGUCCUUCUCGAGGCGGUGGAGGAGGAGGAGGACGAAGACGACACGCCCCUGAUCGUGUGAAGAUCAAGGGCGCCUGCGGCGGCCGCCGGCGCCGCGGCGACUUCCACGGCGCCCGGGGGCGCGGCAACCACUCGGGUGCCCCCGGUCCCGGCUAAGCGGGGGCUCUUCCAGGGCUUCGAGUUCAAGCUCAACCCCCCGAGGGACGGCGCCCCGUCGGGAGCCGGCAAGAGGGGGAGAGCCGAUUCGCCGCCCGCCGCGCCGAGCAAGAGGACGCGCAUCUGGGCCAGCACCAGCACCAACCCGGCCUGCGCGGGGACUGGCGGCGCUGCCACGGCGCCCGCCGCCGCUCCAAUUCCAAUGGAGGAGGAGCUGGCAACAGGUACUGACCCCUUCCUUGACCCCAUUGCACAUGUUAAUCCCACCUGCUGACCUGCAACCGUGCCGCCUUCUUGACUCGCAGGCGAAGUCCAGCCCGCGGUAGGCGGCCCGGCAACAGCGGCCGGGACGGGAGAGGAGGAAGCUCCUCCCGCAAGCUCAGCGGCCCUGCAAGGUACUCAUUCAAAGCCUCCUUGCGUUCAUCGCCGGGCAACUCGUCUUAUUUCUAGAUUCUAAUUUCAUUCUCUGUCGCAGUCCCAACCGUGGUCACAACGGGAGCGCGCAGCGUCGUGGUUGACCUCGGCCCCAACGCCGAGGACGCGGAGACGAGGGAGGAGCCGGAAGAGGCUCCUGCCCCCAGCUCCUCUGCGGCGGACUCAACGGUGGCGGCGCCCACCAUCGCUACCGAGGCGGAGCUCGGCGGCCUGUCUCGGGCCGCGCAGGCCGGGGACGCGGAUCCCGCGGUCACCCGGCAGGAGGGCCUCUUGCCGAGGGAUCGGCAACUCCGCCACCCCCGCAACCCAUGGGCGCGAGCGUGGAGGAGGCUGCGGCAGGGGAGCAGCAAGAGGCUCCGCCGCAAGUGGACGACGCCCCUCCCGGCCAAACAGUGGCGGCAGGGGCCUCGUCGUCGUCUGCUGCUGCCUCCGGCUCGGACUUCGGCAUCCUCGUCGGGCCGACUUGGGACCCAAUCACCUAGGACCCAAGCAUCUACGACCAGGGGCACCAGUUCCUUGAUGCGAUCAAGGAGCAGCAGCUGGCGUUCGUCACCUCCUUCAACCAGGUGAGGGAGCGCCACGAGCUCGCGAAGGGCCAGCUUGGCAAGGUGCGGCAGGCCGUUGAGAGGGAGAGGCAGGAGCUCUCCCAACUGCAGGAGGAGGCGCGCCUGGCCCGAGCCGCCCGCUCUCACUGACCGGUGGGACCCACGUGUCAUCUUCAAGCUCCAACUGCCUCCGGAUUCCAUGCCACGCACGACUCCGAGACGCCCACGAUUCCGUUCCGAUUUCUUAGCGCACGAACCAGCAAAUCCGAAACCCCGCGCAUCAUAUCGAAGACCCCGGACUCCUCUACCACUUCCCCCAAACCGUUCGCCCAAUUUUGCGCCUCCCCGCGUUGCCCGCCUGUGCCGCGUGCCGCGCGCCGCCGCCCGCGCCCGCACCGCCGCGUCCCGCGCCCCGCGCCACCCGCCGCCGCCGCCGUCCGGCGAGCUAUCCCUGCCAGCCGGAACCCUUAUCCCGGCCUAUCCCGCGCUGCCACGUGGCAAAGUUUUUGUUUUAUUUUAUUUCGGCCGAAUUAGAUAUUGCACUUUUGCAGAAAAGACCCUACAACUUCAAAGCAUCAUAUCUUUCAAACUGUUUGUCCAAAAAUUGUGAUCCGCACCUUUCUGGAAUCGUCAUAACGUGUAGAAUAUUUUGGCACUGUUUAAAUUCAGUUUUGAAUAACUUAGACAGUAGCUAUUUACAGAAUGGUGGUUUAUGGUUUAAAUUUCAAAUGAAUUGUUUCAAAAUAGUUUUGAGCCACCUGGGGUAACCGAGACUGGACUAGUUUCCUAUUUAGAAGCUUCUAGUACAACCACAAUGCUAUAUGGGCUCUGGCGAGACAAGAGUAAGUUGUAUGAACCUAGACCCGAGGAAUUGUACUGAGGUUGCCGUGUAGGGGGAGCGUGAUUCUCUCGUGGUUUAGGGAAUUACCUCUGAAAAUCUCGUAGUCGAUGCCGUUGCUACUCUACCCUGAGGACAGUAAGGGAUUAACACGUCGGUUUCUUGUGGGGAAUGUGUACAAACUCUCGAGAGCGUCAAAACUAAGUACUUAGCCGUGUCCCCGGCAACGGACAAUUUGAUCAACUAGAUGUGGAGCUGUAAGGAAAGUCUCACUCAUUCCAAUUUCUUAAAUAAAAUGAAUGGUUGAACAGGGUAGGAGCACUUGAUGAAUCCACUUCAAUGUGUUCUAGGAUAAUAGGAGCAUGGGUGUGUCUACCCCGUGUCCAAUAGUGAUAAAAUUCUAUUUGAUUAAAAGAUAGGAUUAAAUAACUAAGCUUUUAUGCAAAUAGCCUUGUACCCCACUUUGCCACAUUAUGCAUAUACUUGGUAGGUUCUGGUAUAACUUCUGGUGAAUCUUGCCAAUACAUUCAAUGUAUUGACCCUAGUGGUUGCAUCGUUUAAUGCUGCAAGAAGCUCCGACGACGAGUAAGAUGUACGUUCUGCAUGUUUGGGUUACGGGCUUACAUUCCAACACACUCUCACCGUGGUGUUGAUGUGUCCUUGUAUCUUUCACUUUCCGCUGCUAAACAGUUGUUUUAUUUCCAGCUAACCCGUGAGGUUAUGCGAGUUGUAAGUAUCUUUUAAAAUCUGGAUGAUACGUUGUAAUAUUGAGACCUUUGUUCUAUGAUAUUACAUCUUGAAACUGUGUGUGCUAGUGAGUCGAUCCAGGGACUAGCACUAAAGCACAGAGAUCGAACCCGUAUACGGGGGCGGUCGCUUCAACCAGGCUGCGUCCUUGAGGUCGCACCUGACGGAGAGGACGCCAUACGUGGACGGCAUCUUCAUCACGCCAUAGGGCAAUGAACUUGUUUAGCGCCGGCCGACCAAGGAUCCCGUUGUAGGGCAACAGGGUGUGCGACACGUCGAACACCAGGUGCUCGGUCCUGAACGAUUCCCGGGACCCGAAGGUAACCGGUAGCGUGAUGCGCCCCAGGAGGCACACAAUCCCGGGAUUCACUCUCCGGAACGGGUCAGUGGGCUUCAGCUGCUCCAACGGCAGCUAAAGUUUCUCCAUUAACCUGGCGGAUAGGAGGUUCAGCCCCGCUCUAUUGUCCACCAGCACCUUGGCCACCGUCAUGUUGUUGAUGAUCGGUGAGACCACAAAAGGUAGAACCCCUGAACCUAGCUGCCGGGCUGGGUGAUCAUCGGCGCUGAAGGUGAUCGGCACGUGCGACCACUUCCGCGGCUGCUGCGCCUUCUCGUCCGGCAGCAGCGCACACACCUUCCGGGUGAGGCACUUCACCGCGGCGUGGGAUGAGAGAGUGUAAGCUCCCCCAUGGAUGCAGGCGACGCCGCGGGGCUCCUGGAAGCCGGCCUCGUCGCCCGCACUGCAAUCGGACUCACGCUGCUCCUCAGCGCGAGCUUCGUCUCGUUCCCGGGGAGGGCGCUCCCUGCCGGCACGGUCCUGGCCGCGUCCCCCCGGGGCUUCCUCCCUACCGGCGCCCCCACCAGCAGGCUUCGGCCCCGCUCUGGGGUCAUUCGGGCAAUCCCGGGAGAGGUGUCCGAUGUCGCCGCAGUUGAAGCAGGCGCCGACCGCUCGACGCUCCUCGUGGCGCUGCUCGCGCCUCUGCUUGAUACCCUGCAGGAUACCGCAAUCCUGCGCGUCUUGGGUGGCGUUGGCGUGGAUGGGGCAACGGGGCGCGUCGCCGGGCUUGCCGCCAGACCCGCCACCGGGCGAGGCCUUUUUUGCAGGCCUCGCGGUAGCCCCCGACUCCAUGGCGAGGACUUGCUUCCCAUUACGCUUCCGGGAGCCCUUCUUCUACGAGCCCUCAGCUGGGCUCGCGGCACCCUUAGCUGCAAUCUCGGGCGCCAAGCACCCUUCCUCGGCCAUGGCACACUUGUGAGCCAGGGCGUAGAGAUCCUGCGUCGUCUGGAUCCGAUGCAUGCUCAACUUCUCCCACAUCUUGGGGUCGCGGACGUUGAUGGCGAAGUUGUUGACGAUGGCGGCAGCCUCCUCCUCCGGGAUGGAGUAGGAGAGGCUGGAGAAGCGGUUGACGAAGCUCCGCAGCUUCUCUCCCAGCUUCUGCACCACGGUGUGCAGCUCCGCCAUGGUUCCCGGGUGCUUGUAGCCGCCCUGGAACACGCUCACGAACUGCUCGCGAAGGUCCGCCCAAGUGGCUUUGGACCCAGCAGGUAGGUUGAGCAGCCACAUUCUCGCUGAUCCCUUGAGGACCAUCGGGAAUCAGUUAGCCCUGACCUUGUCAUCGGCGCCGAUGGCAUGCAUCCCCAACGUGUAGGUCAGGAGGAAAUCCUUCGGGUUCACGGUCCCGUCGUACGUCCCAAGCGCCGGCGCUCGGAACUUGCGGGGCCAUGUCACCCGGCGCAGCUCGCGAGUGAAAGCGGUGCAGCCAUCCUCGGCACCCACGGGAGCAUCCUCCUGCUCCUUCGGGCGCAGGCGCUCCAAGCGCUGGCGGAGAUCCUCCUGUUGGCAGGUGUUCAGGACGCCGCGCGCGUCACCCUGUGUGAUGCUUGGUGACGAAUCUGAGGACCCCUCAGGAUCCCCGCCUCCUUGCCCUCCCUGCGGAGGUGGGUUUUCCCCGUGCCCCGACACGCGGGGUACGUCUCCGUGCCUCGGGUUCUGCCCGCAGCCUGAGCCAGCCGGGGCGCCCUCGCCUUGCGGCGUCGGGGCAGCGAGCCCAAGGAGCUCCUCCAGCUCCGCACUCCAUGCCUCGUGCGCCGGCGUGCCCUGCGGCGGCUCGUAGCGCAUCAUGACACGCGCGGCGAUGAUAGCCUCCGUCGGGGUCUGGGCGGGAGGCUGCCGAUGCUCGGAGCGGCUGCCCUCCACCUUGUCCCCCGGCGCCCUCGGGUCAGUAGGGCGUGAAUCGGUCGGCGUCGCCCGUGAUGCGCCGUGUUCCUGGUGCAGCUGUGGCUGCGGGUCGUCGGCCCGCGAGAGUGCUCGCUGUCCGGCACGUGUGGCAUUGUGGCUGCUCGCGCGACUGGCUCCGGCGCUAGGAGCCGCCGGCCCCCUCAGCCGGUUGUCUGCCGACCGCCGAGGGGGUGGUGGGGGCAGCUGCGACUGCGGCUGCGGCACCCGGGCAGGCUCAGGAUCGCUCUGAUCCUGCGACAUGCGUUGCACGUCAUGCGACCGCGUGCGUGCCGCCGGGGCGUCACGCGGGUAAAUCCUCGAGUCACCGGCCCGCUUGGGGGGCAUGAUGGCUGGUUCGACUGUCGGGGAAGAUGGAGCCGAUGCAGUUGUAGUCGACGGCGUCGGCGGUCACCGGCAAGCUCUCCUCAUGCACCCCCUACUUGGCACGACAGAUGUCGUAGCACGGGGCUCAGACACCGGGGAUGCGCUGGCACCCCCCUUUUUGGUUCGGCAGUGGGCGACGGGGAUCGCUCCGGUGAUCGCCGGCGAGGCCAAUGCGAGGCGUGAAAACACAAAGAACACGAGAACACUUUUUACCCAGGUUCGGGCCACCCUGAGGUGUAAAACCCUACGUCCUGCCUCUGAGUUUGUUAUUAGCCGGUGAACAAGGGGUUUACAAGUUGCCGGGGUGGGAGUCCCCGGGUGCCCUCUCUCUCUUUAGCUAAGUGCUAUUUGCUAUUCUCGGCUAGGGCUAGUGUGGAUCCGAGCCAACCAACCCGAACCGAACCCUUUGACCAUGGGAGGGGGUCCUCCUUUUAUACUGAAGGGGAUACCACAGGUGCCACAUUAAAUGGGUGACAAAUGUCAAGCAGGGAGCUAGUCUAGCUCCCCCUCGGUGUGCUGGCUUACAUGCACAGAGUAGCCCUGCAACUAGGGGCCUAAGCGCCUAAAAAUUACACCCGGCCAGUCACUUUAGACUGACUAGAUGGGGAAUCCCCUUUCUGUCGGUGCAUUAAAUGGUUGCGUGUGCUUCACUCUUCGUCCUGACGAACCCUGCACACAGGGAGUCCGCCGAGCGGCCACGUGGCGCCGCUGUUCUGCCCGCUCAGUCCCGCUCCUGUAACGGGCGCCUGCGCCCAGGAACACCCCCGGGGAGCGUUCAGGCGGGAAUUCCCUUGCUGCCCUCCAGGGCGACCCCCGCAGCCCGCCUAGCCCUGCCGGGCUGGUGACUUGCCGGGCAGCUUGUGCGGAGCUGCCCGGGGUGCGAUCCUUCCAGGGAGCAAGUGAGGUGGCCCACGCAUCAUGCAACGGUGGUACCCCGGGUGCCACGGGUGCAACACAAGGGCUUCACGGACUUGUUGAGUUACCUUGCUUCGGUUUUUCCACAGCCAAAUAAGUUGCCAAAGAGCACAUACGAGGCGAAUAAGAUUACAUGCCCGCUUGGAUUAGAUUGCGUGAAACAUCAUUCAUGUCCAAACGACUGCAUGGUAUACAUUGGAGAGUACGAGAACCAUGAGAGCUGCCACAUAUGCGGUGCAUCGAGAUACAAGAAGAAAAAUGCCAGAGCUGGCAAAGACGAUGGGGAAGAAGUGAUGAAGGGCAGGGGCAAAGACUGUCUGUUAUCUUACGGCAGGUGGCUGAGUUGAGCGUUGGAUGUAGAACGUUAAGGACGCGAGGUAUCUUGUCUAUCACGAUCCGGCGCAGGCUGCAUUCGAUCUUGUCGGGCACUACCGUGUGGAAGAAGCUGGGGUCCUAAGACACCCUGCCGAUGGGACUCAGUGGAGGAACUUGGACACGACAUUUCCUAAUUUCGGGCAGAGCCUAGAAACCUGGGGCUCGGUCUUAGCACUGACGGGAUAAAUCCUUUCGGAAACAUGAACAACAAGCACAGCACAUGGCCAGUGAUCUUGUUUGUCUACAACCUUCCUCCAUGGUUAAUCAUGAAGAGAAAGUACAUCCACAUGUGCAUGCUCAUACAGGGUCCAAAGCAGCCGGGAGCUGACCUAAAUGUGUAUCUGCAGCUAGUGAAGGAUGAGCUGAAGCAGCUUUGGAACCCUGACAGAGUGGUUUGGGACGCAAACAGGAGGGAGUACUUCACGAUGAGAGCAGCGCUUCUGACCUGCGUGCAUGACUACCCGGCGAAUGGAAAUACUUCAUGCCAGGUGACACAUGGCUACAAGGCAUGUACAAAGUGCGGGGAAAACACGACAUCGGAGAAGUUGCCUGCUUCAUCCAAAAUUGUUUACAUGGGCCACCGAAAGUGGUUGGAUGCUAAAGACCCUUGGAGGGAUGACAAGGAAAGGUUCAAUGGGAAGACGGAGCACGGGACAGCGCCGAAGGAGAAGUCUGGUAUGCAAAUUCUCGAAAUUGUCAACGAUCUUGAAAUUGUCCCUGGAAAGAUUGCUGUGAAGAAAUAUAAGGAACCUGAAGGCGUCGUGCGGAAAAGGAGGUCCGUAUUCUGGGACCUGGAGUACUGGGCACAUUUGGAAUGCCGCCACACCAUAGAUGUCAUGCACAUGGAGAAAAAUGUAUGCGACAGCGUGCUGGGGUUGCUGAUGAACAUUCCAGAGAAGACGAAAGAUGGACCCAAUGCACGGAAGGACCUGGAACUCAUGUCUAUCAGAAAAGAGUUGUGGGGCAAAGAUCAAGUGUCGGCAGCCGACAAGAAUGGUUUCGUGACGGUGACCACGCGGUGUCGUCUUGCAUGUUACAACCUGUACAAAGACGAUUUGCAUAGGAUGUGCCAGUGCCUGCAGGGCAUUAAAGUCCCAUCGAACUACUCGUCGAGCAUCAAGCAUGUAGUUGACAUGAAGAGUCACAGGCUAUCUGGCAUGAAGUCUCACGACAACCAUGUCAUACUCACUCAGUUACUUCCAGUCGCAAUCAGAGGUAUCAUGGAGCCGCACGUAAGGGAGACAAUCAUGAAACUUUUUGACUUCUUUGGCAGCAUCUCGCAGAAGUCAAUCACCGUUAGACGAUGCCAGAUACUGAAGGAUAGUAUGAUACAGAUUCUGUGCGAGCUGGAGAUGUUCUUCCCUCCAUCAUUCUUUGAUAUCAUGGUCCAUCUAAUGAUCCACAUAUGCGAUGAGAUCUUGUCCCUAGGGCCCUCGUUCCUACAUAAUAUGUAUGGCCCUGAACGAUACAACGGGGUUCUGAAGCGCUACGUUCGUAACAGAUCGCGUCUGGAAGGUAGCAUCGUGGAAGGCUUUAGGGCAGAAGAGUGCAUCGAGUUCUGCACGGAUUGGUUGGCCGAUCAGAACUUAAUAGGUGUUCCCGAAUCACGGCACAAGGGCAAGCUCGAUGGCGAAGGUGGCCUUGGACAUACAUACCUUAAUGUCUAUGGAAGAGGAAGGGAAGCUGACUUUGAAAGAGCACAUUGGGUUGUGUUGCAAACUGUCGAUUGCUGCCGGCCUUAUCAGAAAAUGCACAUGGAACAACUGCGAAUGAAAAUCCUAAAAGAGGAGAAGUCUGGAUCCACUGGGAGCACAAUAAAACAUUCGCAGCGUGGCUGAAGAAUUAUUGGUACGGCAGGGAGACGACCAAUGUAUCAGAAGAGACGGUUGCAUGUUUGUCACGGGAACCUGCUUACCAUGUCUCUAUAACUUCUAAACUGCGUCUCAGGACCGUAAAAACACGUAUCAAAAUAGUGGUGUAGUCAUGACUUCUGAGACCGCGACCGACGACAAUAGCAAAACCAAAGCGUUCUUCGGUGUUAUUGAGGAGAUCUGGGAAUUGGAGUACUCGAUCACAAAGAUCCCAAUGUUCCGUGUAAGAUGGACUAAAGCUGACAAAGAAGAAAGUCACAGGUUCACGACGAUGGUGCUACCUCCUGAGAUCCCUCGUGAACAAGUUGACGUGAGAAAAAUCCCGGCAAGAGAGGAACCAUGGGUCUUUGCUGAACAAUGCAAGCAGGUAUUCUACAUAGAUGACCCGGCAAAUAAAGGCCGCGUCGUAGUAAGAAGAGGGAAAAGAAGCAUUGUUGGAGUGGACGGAGUAACUUCACAAGAAGACUACGAAUGUUUCCAUGAUCCGACGACCGCCGCAGAUGACGAAGAAGUGGAACGCACGAUAUUAAUGAGGAAAAGGAGAGGGAAAAGAAGAAGUGAUGGGAGCGAGAGCGAGAAAAUACCACAAAAACCCUAACUCAGAAGCAGUUCUGCGAGGAGUCAAGUUAUAACUUACCGAAGGAAGGAGAAGCACUAGUAGUCACAUUGUAAAAUGUACCCGUACUGAAUCUUAAUGCAACCUUUGUACUAAGUGAAAUUAUGUGUGAUCGAUGUACUUUUGUGUAUGCAUGUUAGUACAUGGCUUUGUCACUCCAAAAAAAAACUAGACAAAAUGCAUGAAUUUAUUCAUCAAACUUCAACUUUUUGAUUUCAUCUAUCUCAACAAGUAUGGGAACAUAUCAACGGUUGCCUGGUUACCCGCCCGUUACUGAUGUAACAUCCCAAAAAUUUCAAAGUUUUACAUAUGCAUUGCAUCUAUAAGCAUCAUGCCACAAUUGCAUGUUUGAAUCUCAAAAGGCUUUAAAAGUUUUUAUUUCAAUUUAAACCUUAGGGUUUACACCCAUUUGAACUUUGGAUCUUCAAACCAAUAGGUUUUAUGUAUAAACGGGGUUUAAUGCAUAUAUAAGCUAUCCCAUAAUUUUUGGAUAAUUAUUUGGAGUUGAAAAAGUAUUUUAUUUAAAUAGAUAUAUGGCCCUAAAGGCAUUUAUAGAGCAAAUGUAUUUUUAUAUAUUUUAUUUUGAAGAGAAACUACUUCCAAAAGUGGUAUCAUGGUAGAAGAUGAUUUUACAAAUUUUAUGGUUUUUAUUCGGACCAAUUUGGAGUUCAAACUCAAAAGAUAUCAAAGAAAUGAGAAAAGCAGAAAAAGAAAAGGCUAAAAGAAAAAAAAAGGGAGAAACGGACCGGCCCGGCCACUUUGGGCCGAACCGGCCCAACCCCUCGCGCGCGCCGCCACCCGGCUGUCGCCCUCGCCACGCCCGCACCCGCUGACAGGUGGGACCCACCUGUCAGGGGCUUCUUCCUCAUUUGGAAGGCGCCCGCGACACGCGCCGCCUUCCUUCUUCGCCGCCGCGCGCCGUCACCGCCGGAAACUCCGCGCUCCGUCCAUAUCUCGUAGCCCCAAGCGCGUUCAUUUAAACCCCGCGACCCCCUCUUCUUUUCCCCUCUGGCCUCCCCCUCGAUUACGCCGCCAGGCCGCCGGAAUCGCUCGCCGGAGCCCCACCCGCGCCGUCGCCGUCUUCGCGUCAUGCCGACGAGCUCGGUGAGCCAUCUUCGUCGCCGUUCGCCCCAUUCUUCUCCUCUCCCUCUCGCGCACGCCGUGACGCGGUUCUUCUCCAUUUUUGUGCGCUGAAGCUCCCCGCCGAUGAACGCCCGAGGCCGCACCGCCGUCCGCCGCCCGCCCCGCCCGCUCGUCUUCGAUCUAGUCGAGGCCCCCGACAGCCCGACCCCGCGCCGACCGCGCCCCCGCCUUCGCCUCGACGAACCGCGCGCGCCCGUGCCUUCCCCGAGCCGCCCGCGUCGCCGGAGCACCCCGCGCCGCCGCCGCCCGUGCCGUGCCGCUGCCGGAGAAGCUCGCCGGAACCCUAGGUGAGCCCGACCUCCCCUCGUCCGUCCGAUCUUUGAUCAAUGGUGUAGAUUAGAACAUUUUAAUUCACAUAACCGAACCGGUACGCACCAAUGAGAACGCGCCACGUGGCACCUAUUUUAUAAAAUGAAAAUCUAAUUUUUAAUCCCCCGGAAUAAUUAAGUGGCCUUUUUGCAGAAAAUCCCCUGUCUUUUCAAAUGAUCAUAACUUUAAAUCUGUUUGGCCAAAUUUACUUAUCCACACCUUUUUGGAACCCUUAGGAUAUGUAGAAUCUUUUGGCUCGGUCCAAUUUAAAAUUUGAAUAUUUGUGUCACAUUCAAAUUACAGAUUAGGGUUUUAUGCCAUUUAAAUCAUAACUAAUUAAUUAUCUGGAAGUCCUUUUUGAAUGGAAGCAGUGACCAAAAUUUUGUUUUAUUGUCCUCUGUCCAAUGGGACAGAUAAAUAAAUAUUUUGAAUUAAAUUGCUUUGCAGAUGCAAAUAAAACCUCAUUUUAGGGUUUAAACCCUAGCCUUUGCUUUUGCUUAAAAACCCUAAUUGCAUGUGCUUAAUUCUCAAGGCUUUGGAUCUGUAGAUCACCCAAAUAAAAUAACCAAACUCAUGUCACAUGUUUUGCAUUGCAUCAUGGCAUACAUAUUCUUUUGCCUGUAUGGUGUGUUUAUGUAUGCAUUGUUUGUAUUGUUUAGUUUUCUCGGAGAGCGAACUGUGUGAUUGCGAAGAGUGUUUGAAUACCAACUACUAUUAAGGCAAGUUCACUUUGACCAUCAUCCCAUUAUUUUAUUAUGCACUAGAUUUUAUUAGUUGCAUUGUUAGGAUUAUUACCGUAUCUAUGCUAGCGAUGAUCUGUCCUAGUAGUAUAGGAUACCCUUUGUCAUGACCUUACCACCAAUUGCCAUCGUGAUAGUAAAAUGCUAUGCUAUGAUAAUAUACGAGGGCGGUAUUAUUACAAUGUGAUACUAUUGAAUUACAAUAUGAUUUUCCUAGUGUAUGGCAAAACAAGUAAUUCAAUGAACCGUCCUGGGUGGGCUGCUUUGAGUAUUCGGAUGUCAUGACGUUAGGUCCAUUUCUAUGAGGCCCGCUGAGUCGUCUCUCCGUGUGAUUCGGGGGCGUCCAUGGUUGUCUCCCCGUGCGAUUCGGGGAGCGCCUGCGUCACAAUGUGGGAUGCCACCCGGGGUAACCAGAGACUGGACUAGUUUCCUGUUUAGUAGCUUCCAGUACAACCACAUGGUAUUAUGGGCUCUGCCAGGAUGGAUGUAAGAAAUAUGAACCCGGAUCCGAGGUGACAUCGGUAUGUAGCAGUGUAGGUGGGGACGCGUCCCUCAGGUGGUCUGGGAGAUUAUGUUCUGAAAAUUCCUGUAGUCGAUGCCGUUGCUACUCUAUCCUGAGGACAGUAAGGGAUUAACACGUCGAUUUCUUGUGGGUAAAGUGUACCACCUCUCGAGAGUGUCAAACUAAGUACUUAGCCGUGUCCCCGGUUACGGACAAUUAUGAGCAACUAGAUAUUGGGGCUGUAAAGAAGGUCUCACUCAUUCCAAUUUCUUAAUAAAAUGAAUGGUUUGAACUGGAUAGGAGCAUUGAUGUUUCUACUCAAUAUGCCUAGGUUAAUAGGAACAUGGGUGUUUCUACCCCGUGUCCAAUAGAAUUAAAAACUACUUGAUUAAAAAUGAUAGGAUUGAACUAUGAUUACUUUUAUGCAAACAGCCAAACUCCACCUAGCCAAAUUUGUGCAUGUACUGGGUAGGUCCUUUAUAACUCUGGUAAACUUGCCAAUACAUUCAAAUGUAUUGACCACAUAGUGGCUGCAAUUAACAAUGCAGGUGGAUCCAACGAUGAGUGAGGUUCAUCGUUCUGUCAUGGGUCAUGUGCUUACAUUCCAACAUGCUCUCACCUUGGAGUAGUUGAGGCCCUUUUGUUCUACCCUUUUCCGCUGCAGUUUUGAAACAUUGUUUUAUGAUGAUGAAAUAGUAUUUGUUUUAUGCUGGCCCAAGAGGUCAUGCGAGGUUGUAAGUACUAUUUAAAUUCUGAAUGAUGCGAUGUAAUAAAGUACUUAGACCUUUGUUUCUGUAUAUUUCAUCAUGAAACUGUGUGUACUAGUGAGUCGAUCCAGGGACUAGCACGGUAAACACAGAGAUCGAACCCUAGUAAGGGGGAGGAUCGCUUCAACUGAUGAGUAUAUGCAUACAUCAGUAACGGUCGGGUAACAAGGCGACCGUUACUGAUGUUCUGUUGAGCAUUGCUCACUUGAGCACAUCAGUUGCGGGCGUUUUGUUCGGCGCCCGUUAAUGAUGAUUGAAGGAACAUCAGUAAUGGUCACGUUCCUUACCCGCCCGUUACUGAUGUACAUAGGGUAUAUAAGGGAACACGCCGAAACACUUAGUCUCAUUCUCACCUGCGCGUCCUCCCCUAACCCGAGAGACCGGCAGUGGGUGCUUCCCUAACCCUAGCGAAGCGCUGCCGGAUUUUUACGCCGCCGCCGCCAUCGACCCCGCGCUGCCCCGAGCCCGCCGACGGCCUCCUCGUCCUCGCCUCCGCGCCGUCUUCCUCCUCCGCCCCGAGCCCGCGCCUCCCCGUCCUCGCCCGGAGCCCGCCACUGACGGCCUCGUCGUCCUCGUCCCCGAGCCCGAGCGCCGCCACCCCGCUGUCGUCCUCGCCGGAGCGCCGCCACCCCACGCCGCCGUCUCCCUCCUCACCGAGCCCGCGCCGUCUCCCUCCUCCCCGAGCCACAGGUGCGCGCCUCUGCCUCCUUCUCCUCUGCCUCCCUCCCUCUCCUCUGAUUUAGCUUGAUUUAGGGUUAGGAUUUGUUCCUGUUAAUUUAGGGUUAGGGUUAGGAUUUGUUGCUGUUAAUUUAGGGUUAGGAUUUAGGAUUUGUUGCUGUUAAUUUACAAUUAGCAUUGUAGUUUGUAGUAGUAGAUAAUUUAUAUCAAAUUAGAUGUACAUUUCCCACCACACACCAGGGCAUGUAUACAUUGUGAAUUUGAUAUAGUAUUGAGUUAGAUGGGCACACAUAUUGUAAUAGCUAAUUUGUAACAUGGAUACAUUUUAUUUACCAUUGUGAAUUUGAUAUAGUAUUGAGUUACAGAGUAUUGUAGUGAGCACAUUUUACAUGAUGUUUUAUGCAUUGUAAUAUAUAGCACACAUGAGUAUGCAUUGUAGUUUUUUAUAUGCUAUAUACAUGAUGUUUUAUAUGCUAUAUACAUGUUGUUUUAUAUGCUAUGCAUGUAGUUUUUUAUAUGCUAUACAUGUAGUUUUUUAUAUAGCGGUUUUAUAUGCUAUUUUGGAGAAUUGAGUAAUGAAUUGUGGGCCCGACCAUCGUGUCGGGUCAUUGGAGAAGUGGCCGGCCAUCGUGCCGAGGGGGUACAUAUGCGGGUGGGUUUUUAUGCAGGCUUCGAGCUCCUAGUAGAGAAAAUUUGCUAGUUUUUUAGCAUAGGUCAUGCCGAAAUUUUCGGCCGAUAUAUAUUUGAUGAUUUUGAUGGCAUAGGUAUGAAAUGGGCAAGAGUAGCCAUAAACCAGUUCUUGAUCGGGAGGAGGUAGACCGUGUCGAUGAAGAGUCUUCAUCGGGAGAGCAAAUUGCCAGCUCUGGCUCAGGUAGCUCUCGUUCAGAAGAGCGCGACAACGAGCGAUGGGUGGAAGAGAGUAACCCGUAGCCUUCUGAAACUCCCGCUAAGAAGCCAAGGAAGAAGACGCUGAGGGGGAGCCACAACUUGAAGGAGUUUUGUUACGUGGUCACCCGGCACUCUAAGAGAGGCCGCCCGGAGUCGCCUGAGAGGGCACAGAAGGCCUUCGCAACGACCUGUGGAGCCGUUGCACGUAAGUACUGCAAGAUCACCAACGAGUGGAGUGACAUCUCCGAAGUCGUUAGAAACACGUGCAUCGCGGAUGUUGCAAGGAGGUUCCAAGUCACUGACGAGUGGCGCGAGCGAUUCCUAGCGGCCGUCAACAUAGCAGUGCACAAUGGACUUGCUAAUUGGAAAACCACCGCUAGAAAGUGGAUGGACAAACCCUACGAGAUCAUCAAGAAGAAAUGGCCGUCGGUAACUGAUGAGGCCGAAUGGGAAAAAUUCAAGAAGGAAUCGUCUGACCCUGCCUUCAUUGCGAAGAGUGAACGUAUGCGGGCGUUGCGCGCGAGGAAGCCCUUGAACCACAGGCUAGGGAGUGCAGGGAAAGAGGGAAAGAAGAAGGUCUGGCGCAAGCAGGACCGAAUUCUCAAGGCGGCAGGCAGGGUGCCUCCAGUGCAUGACAUGCUGGAGGACCAACGUGCUAGAGAAUAUGCACAUCAGCACAUGACACCCGAGGAGUGGGCGGGCAUUGAGCCAAUGCAGCCGCCUGUUAAAAAUUUUACGGUAAGGGUUCACAUGCAUUUAUUUGUUUUCGGCGUGAAUUAUGACACUCCUGAUCCAUAUAAACUCAUGUCCUGAUCAAUGUUAGAAUCCCACGAGACUAUGGCUUCUUUGACCAAGAAACCGGGAACAUUCAGGAACGUCCUAUCACCUUUGGUGUGGAGUUCAACGAACUGUUCCACCUCUUCAACCGCCAAAAGCUUGAUAUCAACCUCUUAAGGCUGUGAUCUGCCUACCAAAUAAGAGAACUGCGGCGAAUCGAGGUAAAAAAUGUAGCCAUUCUAGACCCUGCGAUGUUCAACUACAGUGACAUCGGUCUUGAGCCAGAAAAGAAUGCCUCAAGAACCCUUGCAUCUAAAUACUUGGUGGCAUGUCUCGAGAAAUACGCGGACCACGACUUUAUCCUCUUCUUCCUUAAUUUGGAGUAAGUUCAAUUUUAUAUAUGGAACCGUUUGUUUUUUCUAAUUCAGUCUUUCUUAUACACCCUUAGAUACUAAAGUUUGUUUCUUUUGAAAACAGAGACCAUUGGGUCACACUACUCAUUUGUUUGCCUUGGUCCGUGGUGUACUACUCCGAUUCACUACUUCGAAGAAGGGUGUUCAAAGUGGCGACCAAGGGAAAACUAGCUGGUAAAGGCUAUAAAGACGAGCCUCACCACAACCACAGGUUCCCUUGGCAGCAACAGCCGCCCGGCAGUGUCUUCUGUGGCUACUACUGCUGUCACAUCCUUAUGGAGAAUGCCAGCAUGUUCAAGCCUAAGUAGAAGGGGUCAGUCGCGGCGAUGGAAGAGUAUUGGCGGUCCCGAAUGACAAUGGGACACCGACCUAAAGGGGUUGUGUAUAACAUUCAAAGGGAGUUCGCCCAUCUCAUUAAAAAUGAGUUCAUCAAGCCUAGUGGGGACUUCUACGAACGCGUGGAACAAGUGGUGUCUAGGGUUCACCCACAACAUUAGGACCUAGCUUGAAAUGAGAUACAUUUGAGUCAUAGCACGGGGCCUUGACACCGGGGAUGCGUGGGCACCCCCUUUUAGGUUCGGCAGCAGGCGACGAGGAUCGCUCCAGCGAUCACCGGCGAGGCCAAUGCCAAGUGUUCGAGCACAAUGAACGCGAGAUCGUUUACCUAGGUUCGGGCCACCCUGAGGUGUAAAACCCUACGUCCUGCUUCUGUGUUUGCUAUUAACCGGUGAACAAAAGUUUACAGGUUGACGGGGGGAGUCCCCGGGUGCUCUCUUCUUUUAGCUAAGUGCUACUUGCUAUUUUUGGCCUGAGUUAGUGUGGAUCUGAACGAACCGAACGCUUUGACCGUUGCGGGGGUCCUCCUUUUAUACCGAAGGGGAUACCACAGGUGCCACGGUGCAUGGGUGACAAAUGGCGACCAGGGAGCUAGUCCAGCUCCCCCUCGGUGUGCUGGCUUACAUGCACAAAGAGUAGCCCUGCAACUAGGGGCCUAAGCGCCUAAAAAUUACACCCGGCCAGUCACUGUAGGCUGACUGGACGGGGAAUCCCCUUUCUGUGGGUGCAUUAAAUGCUCGCGUGUGCUUCACUCUUCGUCCUGACGAACCCUGCACACAGGGAGUCCGCCGAGCGGCCACGUGGCGCCGCUGUCCUGCCCGCUCGGUCCCGCUCCUGUAACGGGCGCCUGUGUCCCCCUCCACCCGCAACCCGUGGGAAGCGGGCGCUCGUGGAGAGUGGGGUCGAAUCGGAGCUCAGCUGGCCCGACCUAGAGUCCUCCGGCGACGAGGCGGGCCAGGUUGCCGGGGUCCGAGCGGCCCUCCUCGCGGAGGAGGAGGAGGAGGAGGAAGACGACGCGCCCCUCAUCAUGCGAAGAUCAAGGGCGCCCGCGGCGGCCGCCGACGCCGCGGCGACUUCAACGGUGACCAGGAGCCCGGCAACUCCUCGGGCGCCCACAGCCCCGCCUAAUCGGGGGCUCUUCCGGGGCUUCGAGUUCAAGCUCAACCCCCCGAAGGACGGCACCUCGUCGGGAGCCGGGAAGAGGGGGAGAGCCGACUCGCCACCCGCCGCGCCGAGCAAGAAGACACGCAUCUGGGCCGGCAUGGGGGCCGGCGGCACCGCCAUUGCGCCCACUACUGACCCAACUCCAGUAAAGGAGGAGCCGGCAACAGGUACCGAUCCCCUCCUUGAUCCCAUUGCACAUUCUAAUCCCGCCUGCUGAGCUGCAACCGCUCCGCCUUCACGACUCGCAGGCGAAGUCCAGCCCGCGGCAGGCGGCCCGGCAACAGGGGCCGGAACGGGAGAGGAGGAGGUUCUCCCCGCAAGUUUGGCGGCCCCGCAAGGUACUCAUUCAGAGCUCCCUUGAGCUCACCGCUGGCAAUCCACCUUAUUUCUGAAUUCUAACCUCACUCUUUAUCGCAGUCCCGACUGUGCUCACAACAGGAGCGGGGGCCGUGGUGGUUGACCUCGGCUCUUACGCCGAGGACGUGGAGACAAGGGAGGAGCCAGGAGAGGCUCCUGCGCCCAGCUCCUCCACGGCAGACAUGACAGUGGCGGCGCCCGCCGUUACUACCGAGGGGAAGCUCGGCGGCGCUUCCCGGGCCGCGCAGGCCAGGGACGCGGAUCCCGCGAUCGCCCAGUAGGAGGCGCCUCCUGCCGGGGAAGUGGCAACUCUGCCACCCCCGCAACCCAUGGGCGCGGGCGUGGAGGAGGCUGCGGCAGGGGAGCAACAGGAGGCUCUGCCGCAAGCAGACGACGCCCCUCCCGGCCAAACAGUGGUGGUGGGGGCCUCGUCAUCAUCUGCUGCUGCCUUCGGCCCGGACUUCAGUAUUCUCGCCGGGCCGACUUCAGACCCAAUCACCUGGGACCCAAGCAUCUACGACCAGGGGCACUAGUUCCUUGACGCGAUCAAGGAACAACAGCUGGCGUUCGUCACCUCCUUCAAUCAAGUGAGGGAACGCCACGAGCUCGCGAAGGGCCAGCUUGGCGAGGUGCGGCAGGCCGUUGAGAGGGAGCGGCAGGAGCUCUCCCGGCUGCGGGAGGAGGCACGCCUGGCCCGGCAGGCCAGGGACGAAGCCGCGGCGCCGGUCGUCCCAGAAGCGGAGCUCCCCCGGCAGCUGGAGGCCACGCGCGCCGAGCACCGGCAAGCUCUAUACUCGCUCGCCGCGGUGCAAGCGAAGGCCAGGAAAGAGCACGAGGAGGUGCAUGCUACGGCCUAGGCUCGUCUCAACGAGAAGAGCGAGCUGGUCUGCAGCUACCUCUCCCAACUCCAGGGGCUGCGCACCAAGCUUGAGGAGCAGGCUAAGGCUGCGGAGGACGCGGCAGCGACGUCGGUACGGCGGGAGAAGUAGCUCAACUCCACAAAGGAGAAGAGCGCCCAGCUCGAGUUCGAGGUGGCCGCCGCCCGAGAGGAGCUCGUCAAGGCAGGCGAGGACAACGUGGCCAAGGCCAAGGAGAUCGCGCGCAGGCGGACCUCCUCCGCAAUUCCAAGCACGCCGUGGCGCUGGCAUGCAGCAACCAUGCCACGCUGGUGGAGCAGCACCGGAGGGAGACCUUGAAGCUGCUCGAGAUCGCCAAGGUAGUGCGCUACCUGCUACCGCGAUUCGAGCUGCAGACCGCGCAGGUGGACGGCACGGACACUGUGGCGGGGCCGCCGCCGGCGCCAAGCACCGGUGGCGGUGCCACCACAGCGUCUCUGCGCAACCCUCGCCCUGGAGACACCCUCCGAAGGGGUGCGGCAGGAACGCUGUGGCGGGGCCACCACCGCGUCUCCGUAGCAACCCUCUCCUCGGGAUUGCCUGGUGGAGGGGUGCGACAAGGACGCGAUGGCCGUGCACCCAUCGGCACUGAGCGCUGAUGGCAUGCACCCCCAUCGCGUCUCUGCGGCGUCCCUCGCCUUUGCAGCCACCUUCCUGACUUCGCUCUGAGCCGCUCCAUGGCCACCGCGCCCUUUUAUAGGCGCGGUGAAGAAUCUUGCCACCAUGCGCGCCUAGUCACCGUGGCACACGUGGGGUCACACUCCUUGCAGUGCGGUAAGGGCCUUGCCAUCGUGCGCGCCAAGUCGCCGCAGCACCCGUGGCGGCUCCCUCCUGCUGCAGGAACCUCGGAGUGCGGUGAGAACCUCAAAGUGCGGUUGCUACGCCCAAUCGGGCACCACUACAUGACACAACCCGUGAGCGACCCACGAGCAUUACAGUGCGCACAACUCCGUCCCUGCCCUGCAUGUCAGAUUCUUACCGAGCCCAAGAUGCUGCAAAAAAUUUCGAAACACACGAAAAAAGACUCGUGACACGGAUAAAACACAGGUAACCCUCCUGCCUCCCAGCCCCCGGGCACAGAAUGGUCAGUAUCAAACUUGGGUGCAAGCACCCUACUAUCCCAGGACGCAGCUCCUGCGUGAUGCGCGUUGCGGGGAGCCAGGCAACGGCAUGGCCCCGUGUCGGAGUAAUCCGGCAACGGGUUUUUCGUUUUCGAGGCUCCGGCAGCCCCCUGCUCACAACCAAGGAUGGAAAGAUACUUCUGUGCACCUAAAGCAGGAGACAGAAGGAGAAAAAACAUGCCAAUAAUCGAGGCAGCUUGAAAUUCAGAGGAAGGUACUUAUCUUUAUUCAUAGAAACUAGCGGUUUACAAUCAGGGGUUGCCCUGCUACACUAGUUCGAGAGGUAUGCUACCGGAGCAUCACCUGUGGGUCAGGCUCCGCCGCUUCACAGGUAGAACUUGCGCAAGUGCUCAAGGUUCCAACUGUUUUGCACCGGCGAGCCUUCUUCGGUUUCCAGCCGGACAGCCCCGGCCUGGUCACAUGUACUACCUGGAAGGGGCCCUCCCAUUUCGGAGCUAGCUUGUUCGCGGCCUUCGUUGCUUGUAUCCCGCGUAGGACAAGGUCUUCGAUCUCGAGCUCCCGGGGAUGGACCCGCCUGUCAUGGUAACAACGGAGUCCCUGCUGGUAGCAUGCAACUCGCACAGCAGCCCGGCAUCAAAGUUCUUCGAUGAAGUUUAGAUUGUCAACCCUCUGCUCGUGUUGGCUAUGGUUGCCGUACGCGCGUACCCAAGGGGAUCCAUGCUUGAGCUCGAGGGGCAGCACCACUUCUGCUCCGUAGACAAGGGCGAAAGGAGUUUCACCCGUUGCCCGGCUAGGUGUGGUCCUGAUUGACGACAGCACGGGCUAAAGUUCUUCGACCCAGUGCUUCCCGUGGCCUUUGAGCUUGUCAAAGGUUCUUGUCCUGAGCCCCCGCAGCACCUCGGCGUUGGCUCGCUCCGCCUGUCCGUUGCUCCUCGGGUGAGCAACAGAAGCGAAGUGGAUCUUGGUGCCCAUGUCCUCGCAGUAGGCUUGGAACACGACGCUCGUGAACUGUGGGUCGUUGUCGGUGAUGAUGCCGUUAGGCACACCAAACCGGCACAAGAUGCCUUUGAAGAACUUGAUGGCGGCCUGAGCGGUCACCUUCCGCAUUGUCUCCACUUCCACCCACUUGGAGAACUUGUCGAUGGCCACGAGCAAGUACUCGUAGCCGCCAACCGCCCUUAGCAACUUGCCGACGAUGUCCAGCCCCCAGACCGCGAACGUCCAGGAAGAUGGGAUCACUUGAAGGGCAUGUGCCGGCUGGUUGUUCUUCUUUGCGUGGAAUUGACACGCCUCACACGUCCUGACCAGUUGCCCGACGUCAGCCAGUGCCGUAGGCUAGUAGAAGCCGUGCCGGAACGCCUUGCCGGGCAGAGCCCAGGAGGCCACAUGGUGUGAGCAUGCGCCUCGAUGUAUCUCCUCCAGCAGCGCGCGCCCUUCAUCUUGGGGCACGCAGAGGAGCUUCUCCCCGUUUGCACGCCGCCGGUAGAGGUUCCCGUCCACUGGGGCGUACAUCUUGGCUUGCCGGGCUAAACGCUCCGCGGCAACGUUAUCUUCCAGGAGGGCUCCUCCCUUCAGGUAGCGGCCAAUAUCCACUGCCCAAGGCGUGGUUUCCCUACUCAUGCAUGUCACUAUGCCAGUGGCAUGGACCUCUGAUGCCGCGAGGUUUCCUUCGGUUGUCGGGGGGGCUUCCCCGGCAGCCGGCUUGGGGUCGACCGAAGGCAGGGUCUGCCUGUGCCAGAACACCCCCGCCAGGACCUUCCGGCGCUCCGCUGCCAACUUGGACAGCUUGUCAGCCGCGAAGUUAUCCUUGCGCUUGACGUGCUCAAAUCGCAAAACCUUGAACUUGCGUUCCAGCUUGCGGACUUCAUCCACGUACGCUGCCAUCUGCGGGCAGUCAUAGUCCUUAUUAACCUGGUUGAUCACGAGUUGGGAGUCCCCGCGAACAACCAGGCGCUUGAUAUCAAGGACGGUCGCCGCCCGCAACCCAGCGAGCAACCCUUCAUACUCAGCCGUGUUGUUGGUGGAGUUGGGGAAGUCAAGCUGGAUGGCGACCUUCAGCUGAUCGCCAGUGGGCGACUCGAUGACGACUCCGGCGCCAGCCCCCUGCAGGCUGAACGGGCAGUCAAAGUACAUGACCCAGUGGCCCUCGUCCAGCUUGUCGGGCAGGCUGGUCUCUGGCUCCUCUUCUUCUAUGCCCGUCGAAAUCCACUCCGCAACGAAAUCGGCCAUUGCCGCACUCUUGAUGCUCCUAGUGUUGGUGAAGUGCAAAUCGAACUCUGACAAUUCCAUACUCCACUCGGCCACCCUCCCGGUGGCUUCAUGGUUGGUGAGGGCCCACUCGAGGCAGAACCCUGACACCACCGUGAUGCGGUGCGCCUGUAAGGAAUGGCGCAGCUUGCGUGAUGCAAGCAGAAUCCCCAGCAAGAGCUUCUGCACUUGCGGGUACCGUGUGCGGGCGUCGCGCAGCACCGUGCUGACAAAGUAUACAGGGUGCUGCACGAGCCGUUUGCGCGGUGUUGAUGCCAUUGGUUCGUCGGCGAUCCCUGGGUUCGAGGCGGUUGCCGGGGGCCGCUCAGCCCCCUGCCCCGCAACCUCAGCCACCGGGUGGUCUUCUUCCCUCUUGGCAACCAGCACUGAGCUGACCACUUGGUCAGUCGCCACUAGGUAGAGUAACAGCGGCUCGCCCGGCUUGGGGGCGACGAGGAUGGGCAGCGACUUCAGAUACUGCUUGAGAUCCUAGAACGCCACCUCAGCCUUGGGGGUUCAAUCGAUCGGGCCCUUCUUCUUCAUCACCUUGAAGAAGGGCAGGGCGCGUUCGCCCAGCCUCGAGAUGAAGCGCCCCAACGUGGCAACGCAGCCGUUGAGGCGCUGGACGUCCUUCAACUUGUAGGGAGCCUCCAUUUUCUCGAUAGCCUCUAUGUUCUUUGGAUUGGCUUGAAUCCCCCUGUGCGAAACCAAGAAACCCAGAAGCUGACCCGAGUCCACACCAAAGGUGCAUUUCUCAGGGUUCAACUUGAGCUUGAUCCUUCGGAGGUUAUCAAACGUCUCCUGUAGGUCAUCAACCAGCGAGUCCCCAUGCUUUGACUUGAUGACGAUGUCGUCCAUGUAGGCCUCUACGUUUCGGCCUAGCUGGGGUCCCAAACACUCACGCAAUGCAUGCUGGAAUGUUGAACCCGCGUUCUUCAGCCCGUGUAACAGUAGCAGCCAACUAGGGUGAUGCACGCUGUUUUCUCCUCGUCUUCGACUGCCAUCUUAAUUUGAUGGUAGCCGGCAAAAGCAUCCAAAAAACAUAGCAAAUCGCAACCGGCAGUGGAAUCUACUAUUUGGUCAAUGCGAGGUACAGGGAAAUGAUCUUUAGGACACGCACGGUUAAGAUCAGUAAAAUCCACACACAUGCGAAGUUUAUUCUUCCCCUUGGGUACUACUACAGGAUUAGCUAACCAAGUGGGGUACAGUACUUUCCUGAUAGCCCCCACAGCUUUGAGCUUGUCCACUUCUUGCUUGAUGAAAUCUUUGUGCUCCUCUGCUUGCCGGCGGAUCUUCUGCUUGAUGGGGCGGGCGUCUGGACGCACCGCGAGUCGAUGCUCGAUCACCUCCCUAAGAACUCCGGGAAGGUCCGACGGUUCCCAAGCGAACACGUCGGCGUUCUCCCGGAGGAAUGUGACGAGGGCGCUUUCCUAUUCGGCAGUGAGGUUCGCACCGAUGGUGACGGUGUGCUCAUCGUUGCCAGCUUGGAGGGGCAGCUUCUUCACCCUGGCGGCCCCCUCCUUGAGCUUCUGGCCCUUGCCGGGCACGAGCUCGAGCCUGCGCCGCCCUCGGCAAGCUCUUGCGGGGUAGCGCGGGCCUUCUUCGCUGCGGGGCGAUCGCCUGGGAACGAGCCUUCGCUUCCGACGACGUCCUCGUCACCGGAAUUGGCUGCGGCGGCGGCCUUGACGACCUCGCUAACACACCAGGCUGCGUCCUUGAGAUCGCACCUGAUGAAGAGGACUCCAUACGUGGACGGCAUCUUCAUCACGUCGUAGGCGCCAUGAGUCACCGCCAUGAACUUGAUCAGCGCCGGCCGACCAAGGAUCCCAUUGUAGGGCAACGGGGUGUGCGCCACGCCGAACACCAGGUGCUCGGUCCUGAACGCAUCCCAGGACCCGAAGGUAACCAGCAGUGUGAUGGGCCCCGGGGGGCGCACGAUCCCGGGGUUCACUCCCCGGAACGGGUCAGUGGGCUUCAGCUGUUCCAGCGGCAGCUAAAGUUUCUCCAUUAACCUGGCGGACAGGAGGUUUAGCCCCACUCCGUUGUCCACCAGCACCUUGGUCACCGUCACAUUUUUGAUGAUCGGUGAGACCACAAAGGGUAGAACUCUUGAACCCGGCUGCCGGGUUGGGUGAUCAUCGGCGCUGAAGGUGACCGGCACAUGCGACCACUUUAGCGGCUGUUGCGCCUCCGCGUCCGGCAACAGCGCACACACCUCUCGGAUGAGGCGCUUCACCGCGGAGUGGGAUGAGAGAGCGUAAGCUCCCCCAUGGAUGCAUGCGAUGCCACGGGGCUCCAGGAAGCCAGGCUCGUCCCCCGCGCUGCAAUCAGACUUACGCUGCUCCUCAACGCAAGCCUUGUCUCGUCCCCGGGGAGGGCGCUCCCUGUCGGCAUGGGCCUGGCCGCAUCCCCCCUGGGCUUCCUCCCUGCCGGUGCCCCCACGGGCAGGCUUCGGCCCCGCUCUGGGGUCGUUCGGGCAAUCCCGGGAGAGGUGCCCGAUGUCGCCGCAGUUGAAGCAGGCGCCGGCCGCUCGGCGUUCCUCGUGGCGCUGCUCGGGCCUCUACUUGAUACCCUGCAGGAUGCGGCAAUCCUAAUUGUCAUGGGUGGCGUUGGCGUGGAUGGGGCAACGGGGUGCGUCGCCCGGCUUGCCGCCCGACCCGCCACCGGGCGAGGCCUUUUUCGCAGGCCUCGCGGUAGCCCUCGACUCCGCGGCCAGGACCUGCUUCCCGUUGCGUUUCCAGGAGCCCUUCUUCUGCGAGCCCUCAGCUGGGCUCGUGGCAGCCUUGGCUGCAAGCUCGGGCGCCAAGCGCCCUUCCUCGGCCAUGGCCCACUUGUGCGCCAGGGCGUAGAGAUCCUGCGUCGUCCGGACCCGAUGCGUGCUCAACUUCUCCCACAUCUUGGGGUCACGGACGUUGAUGGCGAAGGUGUUGACGAUGGCGGUAGCCUCCGUCUCCGGGAUGGAGUAGGAGAGGCUGGAGAAGCGGUUGACGAAGCUCGUAACGUCUCUCCCGGCUUCUGCACCACGGUGUGCAGCUCCGCCAUGGUUCCUGGGCGCUUGUAGUCAACCUAGAACGCACUCGAGAACUGCUCGCGCAGGUCCGCCCAAGUGGCUAUGGACCCGGUAGGCAGGUUGAGCAGCCACGUUCUCGCUGAUCCCUUAAGGACCAUCGGGAACCAGUUAUCCCUAACCUUGUCGUCGGCACCGAUGGCGUGCAUCCCCAACGUGUAGGUCAGGAGGAAAUCCUUCGGGUUCAUGGUCCCGUUGUACGUCCCCAGCGCCGGCGCUCGGAACUUGCAGGGCCAUGUCACCCGGCGCAGCUCGCGGGUGAACGCGGUGCAGCCGUCCUCGGCGCCCAUGGGGGCAUCCUCCUCCUCCUCCCAGCGCUGGUGGAGAUCCUUCUAUUGGCGGGCGUUCAGGACGCCGCGCGCGUCACCCCGAGUGAUGGUUGGUGACGAAUCCGAGGACCCCUCGGGAUCCCCGCCUCCUUGCCCUCCCUGCGUGGGAGGGUUUUCUCCCUGCCCCGAGGCGCGGGGCGCGUCUCCGCGUCCCGGGUUCUGCCGGCGGCCUGAGCCAGUCGGGGCGCCCUCGCUUCGUGCGCCGGCAUGCCCUGCCGGGGUUUGGGCUGGGGGCAGUCGAUUCUCCGACCGGCUGCCCUCCGCCCUAUCCCCCGACGCACCCGGGUGAGUAGGGUGUGAACCCGUCGGCAUCGCUCGCGACGCGGUGUGCUCAUGGCGCAGCUGCCGCUGCGCGUCUACGGCCCGCGAUUCAACUCGCUGGCCAGCGCGGGUGGCAUCGCGGCCACUCGCGCGACCGGCUCCGGCGCUGGGAGCCGCUGGCCCCCUCAGCCGGUUGUUUGCCGAUGGCCAAGGAGUUGGGGGUGGCAGCUGCGACUGCUGCGCCCGAGAGGGCUCAGGGUUCUCCUGAGCCCGCAACGCGGGUGGCGUGUCGUGCGAUCGCGUGUGUGCCGCUGGGGCCUCAUGCAGGUCGAUCCGAGAGUCACCAGCCCGCUUAGGAGGCAUAGCGACGGCUCUGUCGUCGAGGGAGACGAGGCCAAAGCUACCGUAGACAACGGUGCUGGCGGUCACCAGCGACCUCUCCUCGCGUGCCCCCCUACCUGGCGUGCCAGAUGUCAUAGCACGAGGCCUUGAGACCGGGGAUGCGUGGGCACCCCUUUUAGGUUCGGCAGCGGGCGACGAGGAUCGCUCCGGCGAUUGCCGGUGAGGCCAAUGCCAAGCGUUGGAGCACAAUGAACGUGAGAUCGUUUACCCAGGUUCGGGCCACCCUGAGGUGUAAAACCCUACGUCCUGCUUCUGUGUUUGCUAUUAACCGGUGAACAAAGGUUUACAUGUUGCCGGGGGGAGUCCCCGGGUGCUCUCUUCUUUUCGCUAAGUGCUACUUGCUAUUUUUGGCCUGAGUUAGUGUGGAUCUGAACGAACCGAACGCUUUGACCAUUGGCGGGGGUCCUACUUAUAUACCGAAGGGGAUACCACAGGUGCCACGGUGCAUGGGUGACAAAUGGCGAGCAAAGAGCUAGGGUAACUCCUCCUCGGUGUGAUGGCUUGCAUGCAGAUUGAGUAGCCUUGAAACUAGGGGCCUAGGUGCCUAGGAUUUACCCCAGGCCAGUCACUGUGGGCUGAAAGGACGGGGAAUCCCCUUUUGGUCGGAGCAUUUAAUGCUAGCGUGUGCUUCACUCCUUGUCCUGGCGAACCCUGCGCACAGGGUGCCCGCCGAGCGGCCACGUGGGGCCGUCGUUGCUCCCGCUCGCCCCUGCCCUGGUAACGGACACUUGCGCCCCGAAACACCCUUCCCAGCAAGUAAACUUCCCAGGAAGCGCCCAGGCGGGAUUUCUCCUGCUGCCCUCCUAGGCAACCCCCGCAGCCCGGCUAGCCCUGCCGGGCUGGUGAUUUGCCGGGCAGUUUGUGCGGAGCUGCCCGGGGUGCGAUCGUUCCGGGGAGCAAACGAGGUGGCCCUCAUGCAGCGGUGGUACCCUGGGUGCCACUGCUGCGACAAUUUGUAUUCUUUAUUUGCUUCUAUGAAAUUUUGACACUUUGUAAUUAUGAUUCUAUGAAAUUUUGACACUUUGUAAUCAAUGUCGUGAAGUGAGAUACUUUUGUAUUCUUUAUAUGCUUUAAAUGAUACGGCUUUAUAUACAUUUGUAUGGUUUAAAUGAUGUGAUGUGAUCUACUAUGAUGUGAUGCGGCUUUAUAUGUAUUUUUAUGUGCUGUGUUGUAUAUACAAUCUGUGCUGUGAUGUAUAUACACUUAUGUGUAUUUCCUGUGUAUUUUCCGUGGUUUUAAUUUUUAUUUAAAUACCGAAAAUGUAUCAGUGUCGGUCGCUCGACCGACACUGAUGUGGCAAUGCGACCGUUAUUGAUGAUAUAUACAUCAGUAACGGUCGUGUCAGCCUGCCCGCCACUGAUGUAUGUAUACAUCAGUAACGGUCGUCCAUCACUGCGACCGUUACUGCAGAUGGUACAUCAGUAGUUACUGAUGUAUAUAUCAUCAGUAACACGAAGUUAGCAACGGCGGCCCCGACCGUUACUGAUGUUGUUUUUCGACCGUUACUGAUAGACCUUUCUGUAGUAGUGAAGUACCAAUAAAGAGUCUGUUUGGUUGAAUAGUUUAUAUGCUGAGCUUUGUCAAGAGGUUUCUUGCAUUAAUCUGUUUUGUGACGGUCAAAGGGCUAUUUACCUUACUAAGGAUCAGAUGCUCCAUGAGAGAACCAAGUACAUUGAUGUCAAGUACCAUUUUGUUCGCGACAUUGUUGCACAAGGUAAAUUAAAGGUAUGCAAGAUCAGCACUCAUGAUAAUCCUGCUGAUAUGAUGACAAAGCCUGUUCCUAUUGCUAAGUUUGAGCUAUGCUCAAGCUUAGUUGGUAUAACUGUUUAGCCCCUAGUGGCUGUUGGCGCCGAAAGUGUUUUCUUUGUUGUUUCAGGAGUUUUUGCUGUUCAUGCUACAAGGAGGAAUUUGUUAUAAGGAGUUUGUCUCAAGGUGGAGUUUGUUGGUUUCUGUUCCAAAUUCCUAGGGGCCGGAAGUUCGGCGGAACUUCCGGCCAUUCCAGGCACCGGAACUUCCGGCCCAACUUUCGGCCGAACCUCUUGAUGCUCUCUGUUACAUUUCGGGGUGCGGAACUUGCUGCGGAACUUCCGGAUAUUCAAGAAUAUGCGGAACUUCCGACCUCCAACCGGAACUUCCGGUGUGACCGUUACGGAUCUGAGUUGCCCUAAUGCUCCUACUAUAUAUACCUCUUGUAUGCCGCCGUUUUGGGAUGAGUUGAGUUCAUGAAAUCUCCCUGGCGUUGUAAACACUCCCCAUAUAGUGAAAUUUCGCUGGCUGGCGCCCGUGGUUUUUCCCUCGCGUUGUUUGAGAGGGUUUUCCACGUUAAAUCCGUGUGUCCUUGUGCUGUGAUUUCUUCUUCGUUCUUCAUUCUUGCUUGUCGCGUUCAUAACAAGUGGUAUCAGAGCCCCAGGUUCCGCCUAGGGUUUGCGACAUGUCUACCUUGAAGUUCGAUCUGCCGCAGCUGGACUACAGCACACGAUUCUCGUCCAAACUUCAGAUCUGGAUGAAGCGCUUGAUUCCUUCGGCAAGAAGGAUGAAAAGGAGUGGACUGCCAAAGAGAAACGCAAAGAUCGUAAGGCUCUGUCUUUGAUUCAACUUCAUCUGUCCAAUAAUAUUUUGCAGGAAGUGUUGGAGGAGAAAUCCGCCCUGUGGCCGAAACUGGAAUCGAUCUGCAUGUCUAAAGAUCUAACCAGUAAGAUGCAUGUAAAGAUGAAGUUGUUCACCCAUAAGCUGCAAGAAGAUGGAUCGGUAAUAUCUCAUAUAACUGUUUUUCAAGAGAUAGUUUCUGACUUACAAGCUAUGAGGUUUUAGAAGCACAUAGACAGAAAGAAAAUAUGAAGUCUAUGGUGCAGACCGAUGGGUCGUUGUCAAAGGCAGAAGCUCUGUAGGUUCGCGGCAGGACCGAGCAGAGGAAUAAGAACUACGGCAACCGAGAUAAGAGCUGGGACGGAAAAGCUCGUUCAAAAUCCCAUGGAAAAGAUAAGUUCUGCAGGUAUUGUAAGAAAAAUAAUCAUGUCAUUGAAGAUUGUUAUUGAAACGAUCCCCCCCUUACAGGGUUCGAUCUCUGUGUUUAUUUGUGCUAGUCCCAGGAUCGACUCACUAGCAUACACAGUUUCAAAAUGUAAUACCAAGAUACAAAGGUCAAAAUGUACUUUAUUACAUCGUAUCAUCCAGAACUUAAUUGUACUUACAAAUUUGCAUAACCCCUUGGGUCAGCAUAACAAAUAGAGUUUCAAGAUAACAAAAAAUAUUGUUUCAAAAACUUGCAGCGGAAAGGUAGAGCAAAUGGGCCUCAACUACUCCCAGAGGAGAGAGCAUGUUGGAAUGUAAGCACAUGACCCAAAGAACAUCAACGAACCUCACUCUUCGUCAGAUUCACCUGCAAUAUUAAUUGCAGCCACUACGUGGUCAAUACAAUUGAAUGUAUUGGCAAGUUCACCAAAAGGUUAUAACAGACCUAACAAGUAUAUGCAGUAUUUAGCAAGGUGGAGUUCAGGCUGUUUGCGUGGAAGCAGAACAUAAUUUACCCUAGUACAAAUAAAUGUUACAAUAAUGUUAACUAAUGGACAACGGGUAGAAACACCGAUGCUCCUAUUAAUCUAUGGACAUUGAGUAGAAACAUCAAUGCUCCUAGACCCAAGUUCAAACCAUUCAUUUUAUUUAAGAAGUUGGAAUGAGUGAGACUUUCCUUACAGCCCCCAAAUCUAGUUGCUCAUGAUUGUCCGUAACUGGGGACACGGCUAAGUACUUAGUUUGACACACUCGAAAGGUUGUACACAUUCCCCACAAGAAAUCGACGUGUUAAUCCCUUGCUGUCCUCCGAGUGGAGUAGCAACAGCACCGACUUCAAGAAUUUUUAGAACAUAUUCACCCAGACCACCUGAGGGACCCGCGCUCCCACCUACACAACUACCUCAGUACAAUCCCUCGGAUCUGGGUUCAUAUUUCUUACUCCAUCCAGCCAGAGCCCAUUUAGCUUGUGGUUGCACUGGAAGCUACUAAACAGGAAACUAGUCCAGUCUCUGAUACCCCAAGGUGGCAUUCCACAUUUGCGACGCAAGCGCUCCCCGAAUCCAUGGAAGAGACGUCCAUGGAUGAUCCGUCUCCGAAUCCAUGGAGACUCGACUCAGAGGGACCCAUAGAAAUGGACCUAACGUCGCAUAACAUCUCAAAAUCUCAAAGCAGUCCACCCAGGAUGGUUCAUUAGGGUUGUUUUGCCAAGUUUCCAAAAUCACUCCACAUCAUCAUUUCACAGUGAUUGAGAUUCCCUCCCACGUUUACUAACAUAGCAUGGCUAAGCAAUACUAAUCACGAUGGCUAUUGGUGGAGGAUUCAUGGCAAAGGUAACCCUAUAGCUAGUAGGUCAAUCAUAGCUAGCAUAAGUAUGAGUAAUAGUCCUAUCAAUGCAUUCUACAAACAACUCUAAUGCAUAAGUGUUUUAAAAACAAACAGAAAUAGGAUAUGAUCAAAGUGAACUUGCCUUGGUAGCAGUUGGAGUUCAAACACUCGUCACAAUCACAAGGUUCGCUCUCCGAGAAAACUAUUCAAAUACAAACAAAUAUACACACACAUAAACACACAAUUCAAAUCACGACAACAGAAUGUAUGCUAUGAUGCAAUGCAAACAUGUGACAUGAUUGGGUUUAUUUUAUUCGGGUGAUCAACUGAUCCUAAGCAUUGGUAAUUAAAACACAAGCAUUAGGGUUUUAAACAAAAGGCAAAAACAAUUGAUUAAAACCCUAAAUUAUAGUUUUAUUGGCAUCAGCCAAAUAAUUUAAUUCAAAAUAUUUAUUUCUCUAUCCCAAUGGACAGAGGAUAAUAAAACAAAUUUUUGGGCACUGGUUUCAAUUAAAAAGGAUUUAUAAAUAAUUAGUUAUGAAUUAAAUGGCAUUAAACCCUAUUCUGUAAAUUGACUGUGAUUCAAAUAUUCAAAUUUAAAAUUCGACAGUGCCAAAAGUUUCUACAGGUUGAGAGCUUUCCAAAAAGGUAAAGUUUGUCAAAUUUUUCCAAAGGGUUUAAAAGUUAUAAGCAUUUGAAGUUACAGGGGAUUUUCUGCAAAAGUGCCAUUUAAUUAAACCGGGCAUUUAUAUAUUUUCAUUUUGACAGGGACACGUGGCGCUUCCUAAUUGGACGAUACCGGUUCGUUUAAAUGAAAUAAUCUCGAUCUAAUCUCGACCGUGGGGAUGAAACGGACGGCCGAGAUGCGCUAGGGUUUACCUGGCGGCGGCGGCGCUCGUCGGAGACAGGGAAGACAGCGGCGCGGCACGGGAGGCGACGGCACGGGUGGUUCCGGCGAUGCGGGCGGCCCGGGGAAGCGCGCGGGAGGUGAGGCGAGACGAGGUCCGAGUCGGGGGCGGGGUCGGCGCGGCUUGGGGUGGUCUGACGCCACGCCUAGGACGAUAAUGGCGACGGCGGGCGGAGGUGGAGCUCCGGUGACGACGGCGACGGGCUGCGGUUCACGAAAACGAAGACGGUGCGUGUCAAAAGAAGCGCAUGGAGAAGUAGAAGAGGAGGGGGCAGAAGAUGGGGGCUCGAACCUCUUGGUUCGCUGGCGACGAAGGAAAAUGGCGGCGGGCGGCGCUAGGGUUUCGGUGAGCAAUCGCGGCGGCGUGGGCGCGUAAGAGAGGGGGCGAGCAGAGGGGAAAGAAAGCGGAGGGGCGGAGCUUAAUAGGGACGCGCUAGGGUUGCUUCGGGAAGGCCGGGAUCAACGGGAUUCCGGAGAUGGCAGCGGCGGGAAUCCGGCGCGGACAUGACGGGCGGCGUGGGCGCUUUCCUUCGGGGACGAAGCCUGACAAGUGGGCCCCACCUGUCAGCGGCUGCGGCCGCGCACGCAUGCGGCUGGGCCGGCUCGGGGAAGCGCGGUCGGGACGGGGCCGGUUCGGCCCAUUCGGCCGGACCGGUCCGGUUUCUUUCUUUUUUUUUCUUUUAGCCUUUUCUUUUUCCCUUUUUCUUAUUUUUCUUUGAUAUCUUUUGAUUUUGAACUCCAAAUUGAUCCAAAUAAAUUCCAGAAAAUUUGUAAAAUCAUGUUUUAUCAUGAUUCAACUUUUGGGACUAAUUUCCCCUCAAAAUAAAAUAUAUAAAAAUACAUUUUCCCUAUAAUGCCUUUAGGGCUAUAUAUCUAUUAAAAUAAAAUAGUUUUUCAACUCCAAAUAAUUAUUCAAAAAUUAUGGGAUUGCUUAUUUAUGCAAUAAACCCCUUUUAUAGAUAAACCCUAUUGGUUUGAAGAUCCAAAGCUCAAAUGGGUGAAAACCCUAGGGUUUAAAAUGAAAUAAAAACUUUUAAAGCCUUUUGAGAUUCAAAUUUGAAUUCAAAUAUGCAAUUGUGGCAUGAUGCUCAAGGAUGCAAUGCACAUGAAAAGGUUUGAAAUUUUUGGGAUGUUACAGUUAUAAACUGCAGAACAAGGAGAAAAGGAACGGUACCUACAAACCAAAGAUAAGUCCGAUGGUACUGGUAAGGCCGUUGUCGUUUCCACCGACAGCUCUGAGGGUGAAUGCCUCGCAGUUCUUGCUGCUUGUAUUUCCCGUGAUGACGAAUGGAUUCUUGAUACAGCAUGUUCCUUUCAUAUUUCUUGUAACAAGGAUUGGUUCAGUUCUUAUGAGUCUGUGCAGACUGGAGAUUUUGUGCGUGUGGGCAAUGACAAUCCUUGUCAUAUUGUUGGUGUUGGGUCCGUUCAGAUCAAGACCCAUGAUGGCAUGACACGCACGUUGAAAGAGGUGAAGCACAUACCAAGCAUGGCAAGAAAUUUGAUCUCACUUAGUACCAUGGACUGUGACGGGUACAAGUACGCCGGUGGGCGUAGACUCUUGAAGAUAUCUAGAGGUUCUCUUAUUCACAUGAUAGGUGAUAUGAAUUCUGCCAAAUUAUAUGUUCUUAGAGGUAGCACUUUGCCUGGUUUUGCUGCUGCCAUUACACCUAAUGAUUCUAAUGAUUGUGCAAAAACGAAUCUGUGGCAUAUGCGUCUUGGGCAUAUGAGUGAACAUGGGAUGGCAGAGUUGGUCAUGAGAGAGCUCAUUGAUGGCUACAACUUGAGUAAGCUUGAGUUCUGUGAGCACUGUGUUUAUGGUAAGCACAAAAGGGUUAAAUUCGUUUCUUCUGUUCAUACCACCAAAGGCAUAUUAGAUUAUGUGCAUGCUGAUGUUUGGGGACCCUCCCGUAAGACUUCUAUUGGUGGUGCUAAUUAGAUGCUUACCAUUAUUGAUGAUUACUCAAGAAAAGUUUGGCCUUAUUUUCUGAAACACAAGUUUGAUGUUUUUGGUGCUUUUAGGAAGUGGAAAGCUAUGGUAGAAAAGCAAACUGAAAGGAAAGUAAAAAAAUUUGCGUACUAUAAUGGUGGUGAAUUUAUUUCUGAUGAGUUUCAGAAGAUUUGCAGCAAUGAUAGUAUGGUUAGGCACUACACGGUUGCCCGUACUCCACAGCAAAAUGGUGUGGCUGAGCGCAUGAACAGAACCAUCAUAUCGAGGGCCCAUUGCAUGUUGUCCAAUGCAGGUUUGGGCAGGCGUUUUUGGGCUGAGGCAGCUUCCACCGCAUGCUACCUCAUAAACAGGUCACCUUCUAUUCCACUUGAUAAGAAAACUCUCAUUGAGGUAUGGUCUGGUAAACCUGCUGAUUAUUCACAGUUGAGAGUUUUCGGUUGCACCGCUUAUGCUCACGUUGAUAAUGGAAAGCUAGAGCCUAGAGCUGUUAAGUGCCUUUUUCUUGGCUAUGGUUCUAGAGUUAAAGCUUUCAGGUUGUGGAAUCCUGAAGCUAAAAAGAUUUUGCUGAGCAGGAAUGUUGUCUUUAAUGAAAAAGUUAUGUAUCAUGAUAGUUUGUCCACUGAUGCCUCUCGCAUUGAAGAGGAGAGACUUAAAGUGAAGGUGGAGCACGUUGAUGAAAUUGUUGACAACGAUAAUGCUCAGGUUGAUCAUGGUAAUGAUGAUGGGAACAAUGAUAACAAUAAUGAUGAUAUUGUUCCACCAUCACCACCUGUUUUGCAGCAACCCACACGGUCUAUUGCAGCUGACCGUCCAAAGAGGAAUAAAGGUCCUCACCCACGUUUAAUUGAAGAGUGUGAUCUUGUUUAUUAUGCUUUGACUUGUGCAGAACAGGUGGAGCAUGAUAGUGAACCGGACACAUAUAAUAAAACUGUUAUUUCCGACGACCGUGUGAAAUGGUUGUCUGCCAUGCAAGAGGAGAUGCAAUCUCUUGAGAAGAAUGGCACAUGGGAUGUUGUACCCUUGCCUAAACAAAAGAAGGCCGUUCGCUGCAAAUGGAUCUUCAAGAGAAAGGAGGGUUUGUCUCCUAAUGAGCCUAUGAGGUUUAAGGCAAGGUUGGUGGCAAAAUGUUUCAGUCAAAUAUCAGGUAUUGAUUACAAUGAUGUGUUCUCUCCAGUGGUAAAGCAUAGUUCCAUCCGUACUUUCUUUGGUAUUAUUGCUAUGCAUGAUCUUGAGCUUGAACAGUUAGACGUGAAGAGUGCAUUUUUGCAUGGAGAGCUUGAGAAGGAAAUAUACAUGGACCAACCUCAAGGGUUCAUAGUUCCUGGUAAAGAGGAGUUUGUGUGUAAGUUGAAGAAGUCCCUUUAUGGUUUGAAGCAAUCUCCUAGACAGUGGUAUAAAAGGUUUGAUUCAUUUAUGAUCUCACGUGGCUUUAGUAGAUCUCAGUAUGACAGUUGUGUCUACAUUAAAUUUGUUGAUGGAUCAUCUAUAUACUUGCUGUUAUAUGUUGAUGAUAUGUUAAUUGCUACCUAGAGCAAGAAAGUAAUCACUACUUUGAAGGCACAACUAAGUAGUGAAUUUUAGAUGAAGAAUCUUGGUGCUGCUAAGAAAAUACUAGGUAUGGAAAUUAAAAGGGACAGAAAUCUAGGUUGCUAUUUCUUAGUCAGCAAGGUUACAUUGAGAAAGUACUUCACCGUUUUAAUAUGCAUGAUGCAAAGUGUGUUACUACUCCUAUUGCUUCCCAUUUCAAGUUGUCAGCGUUGCAAUGUCCUACUUCUGAUGAAGAUAUUGAGUAUAUGUCACGAGUUCCCUAUUCUAGUGAUGUUGGUUCCUUAAUGUAUGCCAUGGUUUGUUCACGUCCUGAUUUAUCAUAUGCUAUGAGUUUGGUCAGUCGUUACAUGGCUAAUCCCAGUAAAGAACAUUGGAAAGCUGUUCAGUGUAUUUUCAGGUACUUCCGUGGCACAUCCAAUGCUUGCUUGAAGUUUGGCAAGACUGAUGAGGUACUCGCUGGCUAUGUGGAUUCAGAUUUUACUGCCGACUUGGAUAAGAGGAGAUCCCUCACAGGUUAUGUGUUCACGGUAGGUGGAUGUGCGGUGAGUUGGAAGGCAACACUGCAACCAGUUGUUGCUCAAUCUACAACCGAAGCAGAAAAUAUGGCUAUUGCUGAAGCUUGCAAAAAAUCUGUUUGGUUGAACGGUUUAUAUGCUGAGCUUUGUCAAGAGGUUUCUUGCAUUAAUCUUUUUUGUGGCAGUCAAAGUGCUAUUUACCUUACUAAGGAUCAGAUGCUCCAUGAGAGAACCAAGUACAUUGAUGUCAAGUACCAUUUUGUUCGCGACAUUGUUGCACAAGGUAAAUUAAAGGUAUGCAAGAUCAACAUUCAUGAUAAUCCUGCUGAUAUGAUGACAAAGCCUGUUCCUAUUGCUAAGUUUGAGCUAUGCUCAAGUUUAGUUGGUAUAACUGUUUAGCCCCUAGUGGCUGUUGGCGCCGAAAGUGUUUUCUUUGUUGUUUCAGGAGUUGUUGCUGUUCAUGCUACAAGGAGGAAUUUGUUAUAAAGAGUUUGUCCCAAGGUGGAGUUUGUUGGUUUCUGUUCCAAAUUCCUAGGUGCCGGAAGUUCGGCGGAACUUCCGGCCAUUCCAGGCACCGGAACUUCCGGCCCAACUUCCGGCCGAACCUCUAGAUGCUCUCUGUUACUUUUCAGGAAAUUGCGGAACUUGCUGCGGAACUUCCGGAUAUUCAAGAAUAUGCGGAACUUCCGGCCUCCAACCGGAACUUCCGGUGUGACCGUUACAGAUCUGAGUUUCCCUAAUGCUCCUGCUAUAUAUAUGAUGAGGACAUCCCAACUAAUGAUACAACCACAGCCCCUACAGCACCUACACCUCAAGUACCGGAGAUACAUGGACCAAUUACUAGGGCUCGUGCACGACAACUAAAUUAUCAGGUACUUUCGUUCCUCGGUACUUCAUUUAAUAUUAAUGAGAAUAUGCUGCUGCCUAAGAUGGGUUCUUUUAUGUGUUUUAGGAAUGAAGGACCUAGCUUGGACCUCAAGGAUCAGCGUUGGACAGCAAACCAUGGAGGUGGCAGCAAGGUGGCGGGAGUUAGCUCAAGUGUUGAAUUCAGAACAUUGAAACCGCCAUAAAGAGAUGAGAAGAAGGCCGCAUCCUCUUCAUCAAUGGAAUUUCGGCCAAGUGGAGGAUUCCCCCUCCAAAGGGUAUCUAUGGGCCAAAGAUGAGUGUUAUAAUCUUGUUUUAUUGGGCCUAAGGCCAUGCAAUAGGGUCCAGCCAAUUUUUAGAUGUUUUCGUUGUGUUUUAGGAGGAUUCCUAGGCCGUUUCGGAGUCCCACAAGGGCCUGGCUGAAAACCACCUAGUUCCCCUCCUAUUUAUACCCCAUGAGCCUCCCUAUGGAGCCUUGGGUUUUAUUAGAUAAAGUUUAGCCUUUGCUACUUUCGUGUAAUCGCGUGUGUCGGUUAGACCACCUGUUUUACCGUCAUCAAGACUCCAACUAUAUUGAGUAUUCAGAUUCGUGAACCUUCAUAUCUCCUAUUCGCAAUUUCAGAUUGCUUUUCAUCUUGUUCUUGCUUGUUCUUCGAUUGCUUGCAGGAACAAAGACCUUCGUGGUCAGGUUGAUCGUGCCCCCGCGAGAUCAAUAACCUUUUGGAGUUGGUGUAUCGAUUGCUAAGGCGCUGCCUCCUAGGUUGUAGUCGGAUCGUCAACGUCACCUCCUACCAAAUCGAUAAUUAGGUAUCUCAUCGAAAGAUCGGGACACCCUCGAGGCUAUCACGUGGUAUCAGAGCUUAAGGUUGCUCGGUGAGAGCGUGCGGGAACAGGGAAACAACGGUUGGGAUAGGGGGGGGGGGGCGGGGGGCACGUGCUGUUCGCUGGUUGGUUGUGCGGGGUGAACGGUCGACUCCCGGGCUUAUGGGGGCUUUGGAGGCCCAUUUGUGCUUUUUUUCUCAAAUUUAGGCCUUCUUUUGGCCGAAUUUUACCUAUAAAUAGGGCAUUUCAUUUGCAGAAUUUUCACACUCAAACCACUCCUCCCCUCUCAAACAUGUUUGGCUUCAUACGCAUUACGCCAAAUCCACCAUAUGAUCCAAACAACCCCAAUUCUUAUGAGUUCCCACUCACAGAUUACGGCCUAAACUACAAAGAUCCCACAUACGCCGAUGUCCUAAAUGCCCAAGAAUCAAACUAUCGGGAUCAACAGGCCGUUUAUCUGGGGCCGGGGCCGGCCCGAUAGCCAGGCAUAGUGGCGAUCUGUCUACGGGAGAAGACGUAUCAGACUAUCGAGAUCGACGUGCCUGGUAGUUGGACUCAGGGGAGGGGUACUUUUGGACGUAGCAAAGAAAACUGGGCCAAAAAAACUAGGUCCUCUCAAAAAUAAAUAUAAAAAUACUAGGUUAGUCCCGCCGAAAAAAACUAAAAAUACUCGGUUAGUCCCUCGAAAAAAAUCUAAAAGCACUCGGUUUUUCUAAAAAACACUAGUUUGAGAAGUGUUUUAAUUUGGUUAAAAAAAUAGAGUGUUUGUUGGUGAAGUUAGGAAUAAUCCUCUCCAAACUCUUCCUACCAAACAACCAUUUGAGAUUUGUAAUGUUUUUCAAUUUGAGGGGUCUAUACCUAAAAACAUCUCAAAAACUCCAAUACCAAACAGGGCCUAACCGAGAUAAAUUCCUUUUUUAAAUAUUGCUAACCGGUUAAGACUGAAUUUUCCGGUUUUGAUACAUCGGUGCUCGGUUAAUAUGCCCAUCCCUGAAUACAACACAGUUUUCUAGAAACACUCUCAGAAAAAUCGUGAUGCUACGGUGUUCUCCUGUUCAUAUUAUUUUCCUUUUUCUUGCAGUAGAGGGGCCGGCGGCAGGUUUUGCACAAAGCUCUAGAAACUUGAAUUUGAUGGAUUAUUUUGAUUUUCGUAGGAAAAACCAAAGGGGACAAGAAGACGACUAAGCAAAAAACAAGUUUUCACUGCCGCUAAAACGAAGGAUUAAGUAAACGGCCUGGCAUUAUUUGUUUAAUUAACUGAAGUACAUUUGAUCAAACACACAUAACAAAAUUAAAAGUUAACUCAAGGAUCUUUGAAGUCGACACUAGCUCCAUCUUUUGCAUCUUGCAUGCGUCCAUAGCAAUUGUGAAAAAACUAAGGAACAGCUGAAGCUCGUCUUUGCAAAAAUGAAAUUGUUGACCGCUUCAACGUCAUCACACCAGCGAUCGCUGCCGUUGCUUGUCAAUGAUACUCCGUGCCGUGAACAACUCGUACCAUUUCCGGGGGGGCACCCCCGCACCUGAGUCGUCCACUCCGGCCUCGUUCCGCUCUGCUUCGGCCUAUCUGCCUCCACUCCGACAAAAGUCUACCUUCCCGAUGUAUCGUCACCAUGCACUUUUACGGAAUGGGUUAUCAGUCCACUAACUUGGCUUCUUGUCAGCGAUGCGUCGGCGUACCACAUCAGUGGCGGGCAGCAGGUGAGGAACCGACAGUGAUAGUAGUUUUGCCCAAAUAAAGAAAACAGGCCACAGGCCCGCAUCUUCUACAAAUCAAACAAAUUAAUCCAAUGAAACAACAAAUCCGGAUGCGUAUAGUCUAAAUCAACAAAUCACAGUACAAUCUAAAUCCACAAAUCACAACAAAUCACUGGAAGGCGUUGGCAGCUAUCUCCACAAGUCCACGGCGGCAACGGGAACCCGCGGGCUUCGUGUCCUCGGCGGCGGCAGUAGGGGGAGAGAGAGAGAGGGAGAAAGAAUCGUGAGAGAGAACCAAGAGAAGAGAGAGCUCGAAAGAACAUAGAGAGGAACAGGCUUACCAGGAUCCGGGGGGACACAUCCCAUGGCGGCACCCACUGGCCGUCGGCGUCGACCUCCUCGUCUCCAUGGCUGCUCCUCUCCACGGCGACCCACGCUGCAAAAGAGAGAAAAUAAGAGGGAGGGGGAGAGGCCUAGAGGCUCCAUGGCGGCGGCGGCAUGGACCCGCGCUCCCGGUCCGGAUCCGGCGGCUCCCUAUCCGGAACCGUGAGGGGCGCGGCCGGCGGCGGGUCGAGC
rnacentral:lncRNA from 1 species